GUGGUUAACUUCGCCAGCGGCCCCUUUCCCGGGCAGUCCCUGCUCUCCCCUGCUAGAGGGGCACCCUAAUCCGUCACCCCAUCCGACUUCAGAAUGUAUUCGUUGGGUUCAGCAACUCACCACCAGCAUCCAACCAAAUCUAGCGAAUCAACGGCGCAUCAACUUAGUUCCUGGUCAGCUCGCAAGUUGAUUUUAUCACGUCCUACAUCGUCCAUAUGAUGGGGGGCCACCUCCCAUUUCGUCACUCCUCAAACACCCGAGGAGCCGGCAGGCGGAUUUGAACCCGGGUCGGCCGGGAGCAAAAGUCAGGCGUUAUGUAUGUCAGGUUAGAUCGGGUCCAUCCAUACAGACGUACACACCUGGCCGUAGGCAGAGCCACAGCUACAGCCACGGUCCGCACCCCAUUACCAGCAGCAGUAGCAGCCAUCAGGACCCGCACAGAUAGCUCAUCACCUCCUCCCUCUGGUACUCCAAGACGUUCGAAGGGCAAUACCCCUCCCCCCCCUCCCCCCCCUCUCCCCCCUCUCCCCCCUCUCCCCCUCCCUCACCUGCACGUCAGGGGACACCAGGGCAUCCAGCCGGGCCUGAUCCUCCUUCUUCUGAGUGACGAAGUUACGCCACGAGCGCUGAGGUGACGGGGGCCAUGUGGGAGAGGGGUGAGGGGGGCACGGGGGAAAGGGAAAAGAGGGGGAGCGCGGGGGAGCGAGAAACACGUGGGUGUGUGGGUGCGUGUCGGGUUGGACACGGAGCUAAGGGCCCUGCGCUCCGGUGCGUCUGUUGCCCGGGCGGCCCCCGGAGCACUGGGCAGCCCCCGCCACCUCACUGAGAGGGGGCAGCAGGGGGGCCUUUGGGGAGCAGGGGGGGACAGCUGUGCAUCAAAUAGCUGUGCACGUGUAUAUAUAUGUAUGUAUGUACGUUUAUAUGUACCUUUACAGAGUGUCGUGACUUCCCUUCCGGUUUCCUUCCCCCACCCCGCCGUAACCCCCACACACACAAACCCCGCAACCCCCCACCUGGAUGAUCCGGGCGGCAUGGUGCAGGUGCAGCUCGGCAAUGGCGUGUUGUCGUCGUUCCUCCGCCCGCUGAGCGGCCAGGAUCUGUUGCCACACCUGCCGGCCGCACGGGUCGGGGUCGGGGGCAUCGGAUAGGAGGAGGAGGACGUUGGAGACCGAGUCGAAGUCGGCACACGGGGGAAAGCCCGAGACUGAAAACAGUACAUCACACCAUCACAUCAUAGCUGCUAGCUCCCACCACCAAGCACCCGCUUAGUUGCUAUCCUGCAGCCCCCACCCCCACCCCCACCCCCGGGGGUCUUCUGUCGCGACCAGCACUGGAGCCCUCCCCUCACUCCCCCGACCCACACAGCCACAGGGUCGAGCCGACCAAACACCGCUCCAGCCUCCACGACACCCCACCCCAUCUACUCCCAUCCCAAACCCUCACCCGAGGCCCCGGCCCCGCCUCCAAGCCCACCCUACCCCCACCCCACCCCCACCCGGCCCUACCUUCACAUCCGACACAAGGUGCACUGCGCCGAAUAUCUGUGAGGGUGUGAGGCCCCCCUCGGGUCGGGGGGGCGCAUCCAGGUCCUCCUCGUGCGGGUAGGGGCCCUCCUCGCAGUCGCCCUCACCACUGGGGGGCUCGGAGGAGAUCUCCUGGAGGGGGAGGGUGAGGGGGGAGGGGGGGCAAUACACAGCGCUUGUGAUGGGAGCGGGGCGUAGCAGCUUCAGGCAUGUCAGAGGGCGGAAGUCGGGUGGGGGGUGGGGGUUGGGGCAGACAGAAAGACAGGGUCGGGCGGAAGGCGUUUUAAGCUCUAAAACCCUGACACCCCUACUACCCGCAUUUCCCCCCAGCACAGAAGCCCCGUAUGAAGGCAGCAGCCGACGCAACCCCCCUCGGCGCCCUGGGCGUGCAGCCCCCUGUCCUGGGCCACCACGCAUCCGUGUACUACUGCUUCCCCCUCCCUCCCCGCCCUCCACCGCGCCCAGGACCACCGCUCCCUCCCCCCCCCCAAACCAACCAUGGCUCCGUGUUGAUCGUCCUCCCUUCUCAACCGCCCCUCCUCACGGGCCCGCAGUAGCUGUACGACGCCACCGUGUGUAUUGACGUGUAGGACGGAACCCGGGGUAAAGGUCGGCACCAGACCGGGGAGCGGGAAGAGCAAAAGGGUGGAGGUCAACCGCACGAUGGUGAACUGCGGGUGCGAGGUCAACUUUACCAGAGGCGGCCGGCGGCGGCCAGGUGGGGAAACAGGAGGGCCCCAGGCGUGUCCAAAUCCCAGAGCUUGUUGACAGGCAGGUGCAUGAAGAGCAACGUGCGGGUUGGCCGAGCUCCGCAAUCGUCCCCCCCCCCCGGGCCCUCAGGAGCCGCCCCAGGACAUCCCACUUCCCGCGGGGGGAGAGCGGAGCGGGGGGGGUUAAGCAGCCCCCUUGACAGGCGCCCCGGUGCAUCCUCCUGACUCAGACUAUCCAGUACGACACCACAGCGCGAGUGUGGUACGACAACAAGCAGGUGGCCACCCAUCAUUUGCUACAGGGGUGGUGCGUACAUCCCCUGAAACCCCAAAGGAAAGCAAUCCCCCAGACCCCCCAAACCCCCAGCAACCUAGCGGCUUCAUGUGCACCUGGACACGGCACACUUCGCACCAGCCGGGAACCUCCCACUGAGGGGCCCCGGGGACUCUUCAUCCGAACCGACUCCUUGACCGCCCCGACAGGGCUAGUCACCGGCUGCUGUGUUCGGCCGGGGGGACAUCUGCAGCUCCCUCGCACAUCCGAGCUCCCUCAUACGGGUACCAACCUACCGCCGCAUCCCCCAGACCAGACAAAACUCCAUUUCCACAUAAACCCUCUUUUCCCCCCCCUUUAUCCCCCCACCGUGGUCCCCUGUUUCCCGCACCUCCAGCUUCACAUCCACCUCCAGCUCGUGCGCCAGGGGGUCCAGGGCCCUCAUGACGCAGCCCGUCCAGCGCUCAGUGACCCGGGUCAGCUCGGACAGGUGCUGCUCCACGUAGGCUGGCAGGUCGUCCUGGGGAGGGGGAGGAAGGGGGCAGGGAGGGGAAAACAGGGGGGAGAGGUGUAAGGAAGGAAAGGGGGAGAGGAAAAAUUGAGGGUUUGAAUGGGCAGAGAACUUAUCGCGCAGGUGCCAUAGCUGGGGCAAGGGUAUCUUUGACUGCCUUUGUACCUUUUUCCCCCGACUAGCCUUUCUGAAAGCCGUCCGAUACCCUCGUGGCGUCUCAACGCAGCAAAAGUAGCCCUCGAGCCCACGCCGGGUCCUGUCCUGCAUCCCGCUCUUUCAGACAAUAAAUUUCACCUCUUACCUCGUUUUCGGGUGGUGGAUGCGCGGCGAGGAAUUCCUUGGUAAAGUGCUUGACAAUUUCGGAUUGCAGGUAAGUCGAAGUUAGGUACGGCGCCAACGCCUUUCGCAGCUUGGCUUUGAUCGACUUGCUGCGUGCUACACCCCGAGCCUCAGGUCCCCGCUGCAUUUCCGACUUUUUCCGUGGUGAGGCGAACACUUUUGGUGGUGGCCGUGAUGGCUUGGACAUGUCCUGUUCAAUUUGCCCCAGCUGCAAGGGUGGCGGUUCAUCUGCAUCUGCCUCAGCUUCAGUAGACGCUGAAGGAUGGUGUAAAGGUACCGUGCCUUCUUCAGUGGACACCAUGGCCCUUAUUCACUCUUGCCGGGCGGCUCCAAAACCGUAAAUAAAACACUCUCAGCACACCAAUAAAAUUCAGUUAAAUUAAUGCCAAUAUGACAAGCUCCUUGGUCAGUGUCCGCUGCUGCAUGUCCACCUUCUGGCUCAAACAACGUCGAGCAAGAUCUAGAACAGAAGACAUUCACUAUGCAAUAAUGUGUGUCAAAGAAACUUUAUCUACGUCCAGGCUUAUCGGAAACCGGCGGAUUCUGGCAGCCCGAAUGUGUUACGAAGGUGUCUCCACGACACGAAGUAGACAUAAAGAUGGAGCUAUACAGGAUUACAUUAUUAGCGAGUUGAGUAUGCUGUAGAAUGGAAUGCUAGCAAUUGUCUGUUGAGUUCCGCGAUUGUGCGCUUCAGCCCUCGUCAACUUAAUUUCACGAAUUGUACAGCUUCUGAUUUCCCUCUUCCAAAAGAGUUCCAUGGCAUACAACUUGUGUUGUUAUAACGUGUUACAACAAGGUGCGCAUGCAGACCGUGUCGGAGUCCGUAAUGGAUAGAUGACUGCGCUAAGCACAUACCUGAUGGUUAACACGUAGCAAAUUAAGAUGACAUUAUUAUCAUAUCAUGCCCUGGUAGAGCAGUUUUGCAGUCCCACAGUACAGGCUUCCGGAGAACCUAGAUAGAUACGCGUCGAUCUGAACGCGCCCAUUUAGAUCCCAAAGCAUAAAUCGCAUUGCCUCAGAGCUGCGGUACAACUUCACCAUUAUGCAUGGCGACUGCCGCCCGUUGUCCGUUUCAGUGAUGUAUGCUGCUGAUGGUCCCCGGUGACACACUGACUCACACAACCAUACCUGCCCAGCCAGCUGCCCAGGUUGAUAUGUGAACCCCCUACCCCGUCCCAGGAAACUCAUGGCUGGCCACCCGCAAUCCGAGGGGGUAGGCACCCACCAGUGCGCUUCAGCAAACCCCCUCCGCAAUACAUGGCAUCGUGCAUAUAUAUGUGUCUGAACGUGUCGCACGCUUUCGCAUCUUUUGCACGCACACACGGCUGAGCCAGUCCUUGCUAUGGUCUCCACGCGAACGUUGGGGACCACGCAUCGGCCGCAAAACCCACACGGUGAAUCCGCUGGUAAAGUUUUGCUGCACUACUGGUGCCAUGGCCAUACAGGAGAGGGCCCUCCUCUCAAUGUCGGGUCCAGCAGUUGCGGUGUCACAGCUCUCCCUCUCCUAACUGGGGGGCUUUGUUUUGUCCCUGUGCCUGGAAGGGUGCUACCGCCAAAUCGCCUUCGGGCAGCUCUAAUGUCGGUCGGUCCGUCAUUUCUGAAGUCAGAAGCCCGACACCAUAAGGGCCGGCUUAGGUGGGGUGAGCAUCUGUAUGGUACGAAGGGCUCACUUACAACCUUUGUAACACUUUCAGCCGAAGCGAGCCUCACACUCCACACAUGGCAUCCGCCCGCCAUCCCCCUGCCAACCAGCAAGCUCCAGCCACCCGUGCUUCAUGUGCCCCAACUCAAGCAUAUGCCAACUGUACCCUCUCUGUUUUACUCUUAACUUACCCUUUCUGUACCUCUGCCCCUCCGCACCCCCAUGGUGUUCCUCCAUUCCUGCCCGGCAGGCAGGCAGGCAGGCAGUUCUUGUCUCCUCCUGGUAUGCUGGGUAACUGUCCCCUCAGGAUGAGAACCUUGUAUCGAGGUGCCCUAUCAAGGUUCCGCCCCGCCAAGGCUCCCGGUUUGGAAGUGUGGGAAGCAGCAACAGGUCCCACUCAUCUGCCACUGGUGAUUUCCUGAGUAGCACCGCCCACCACCGUGGCCACACCUACCAGGCUGACUUUGCCAUCUGGGUUUUCACUCUGAACCUUACCCAGCACCCACCCCGCCUGGGGGAAUGGCAUGUUGAUGUGUAGCAAUGGCCUGGGGUGACUGUCACUCGCGGCCCAGGGCUGCACGGACACACUCAAACUGGGUUCCAUGUAGUCGCAGAAAAGUGCUCGGGCACCUUGGUGUUGGUGGCAUCCAACUGAGCAGUCCACAUUUGGUCGAGUGUGCCCGAUCACACCCUCAUCCUCGGCGACCUCACCAUGGUCGACAUCACCCAGGAGGUUGCCGGUACUACCCCCCUCCGGAGGGCUCGGGCGGUUGCGGUUCCAGUCAACUGGGUCCUUCCUCAAGGCUGACGGAUAUGCCUGCAACACUCCGAUGGCAGGUCCGGUGCCAAGAUCCCUGGCUUCCCUCAGCGCCUCUCCUGGUCCUGGCUCCCUGCGGCUCCCACCACGGUGUGCCUAUUCCCCGUCCGUCCCUGUACAGAGCCCUCACUUCCCGAGGACUUGAGUGGGUAUAUUCACGGCAGGCGUAAACCAACGGUAAUAACCACAUCUGGGGUAGGCGAAAAGGACAUGCAGCUGGGCUAGCUCAAACACCCUCAUCACCGGCUUUCCAAUUUCAGCGACACUGCACAGCUCAACAGCAGUUUGUCCAGUUUGGACCAGUGCCCGGUUCAUUCACCGGAUUGUGUUAUCGAGUAUUAGCAGCCAGACAUGCCGCAUCUCCGCAGCUCUCCGCAGCUAAGGAGGCCGUGCUAGCCUUGCACAGCGCUGUCCGGGACGACCCAGUGAAUGGCUGGGCCGGGUGGGCAGUAAUAGGCCUGAUAAAAUGGUAUCAUGAGGCUCCUGGCGCAGCAGCCUCAUGUGAGACAUUUUUUGACUGAGUUCCAAUUGCGACUGGAAACACCGACGUUUGCCAAACCCCAAGCUUCCAAUCACCCUUCCCAUUCGACACCAGCCCAACUAUUAACUCUCAGUUGACAAAUUAGCUGACAGGGCUGGCAUGUAUCAGUUCAAAAUAUGGUAGGUGCGAGCGGUGCAGUGCAAAAUUAUGAUGUCAUUUGCGACCUCGAUUUAGGAACGAAUUCGGGACUUUACUUGCGUACACCGGGAUCAGCACAGUCACGAAAUCAGCGAAGUGAAACUGUGUUCAAUAAGUAAGCAAAAUUGUGUUUGCUUAUAGUGGGUAGAUGGCAAACAGCAGACAACGAGUGUUCCGUCAGGUCCCGACGAUGCAAACGGAAAGUGUCCCCAAAUUGUACGAUUUUUCGUCAGAGUACCGGUAUCUGAUUCGCAAAUACGAUUUGCCGCAAUUGCCGUUAAAGAUAUUUCUGGCAACGGAGUAUCCUUGAGCUGCACCGGCAUCCUCAUAGAGUAGUUAGGCUAUAUCGUUCACGUUUUAAGCGUCGACAGCGCAGCGGUCGUGGCAAACGACCAAUCCUUCACUAUCACAAAAACUCAUGAGCGUCGACCACGUCUGCAGCAGACUGAAGUCCUUAAAAGGUUGCGACACCUGGAGCGCACUUUCCGUAGCGUUCCCGCUUUUCCGACAGUUACCAUUUGGCACGCAUCGGCCUGGGUGCUUUUAUUAAAUAAUUACUUGGAAUGGUGGGAAGCAUCUACCAUCUUCUGUAUGCAGAAAAAUGAAACCGCGCUAGGAGGAAUAGUCGAAGGCUGCAUUGCGAGGGCAGGUUCCCUGAACAAACCGCGCGCACCCGCUCUCAUUCCUCCCCGCCGAUGGGCCCAGAGUCACUACCUACCGCUACGGGCAGCUCUUCGGGGUUCCUCCAGCAACAGCAGCUUGCGUUGUCAACCCCAUCCGCACCUCUGCUAGCACCGCAGCCGCAGCCCUUUCCGAUGCUUGGACCUGCGGGGAUGUGCGGACUGCUCGGUCAAAUGUCCGGCCCAAGUUCAGGGCCAUCGCCCCUUCCGAAACCCCCCCAGCUUCCCACGCCGUCCAUGGCCGUCGCGUCUCAUCCUGCGCAUGUUGCGCUGCAACUUCAACAAUACUUACAGCUGCAGCAAUAUCAGCAGCAGCAACUUCAUCAGCAACAGCAACAAUCACAACAACAGCAGCAACAGAAGCUGGCAGCUGCGCUCUCAAAACUGCAAGCGUCCGUCAUGGCCCCCCCACCCCCUUUUGUACAGUUGCAGCUGCAGCGCCAGAUGCAACCUCAGUCCGGAUUAACAGAGGCAGCACCCGCUGUAGGGACAGCACCAGCUGCAGCUUCCCAGGCCCCGUCGCCGCCGCAGCCUUCCCUGCUGCCGCCCUCGCUGCCGCACGUCCAUUCUCAGGGCCUCCUACAGCCCCUGAGGGCCCUAAUGCCGCUGCCGUCCUUGCCUCUGCCCGGCCAGAGCCAGGGCCAGGCCGCAAUCAUGCAGCUGCCGAUGCCACCGCAACCGCCGCAACCGCCCUCCCUGGAGGCCGCUCAGGUUAACAACGGAACGGGGCCACCUUGUUCGCUGCCCGUCGCCUCCUCCAUCCCGUUGCCCGGACCUGUCCCGCACCCGGGCGGCGGCCAGGCGGGGCGGGGGCCCCGCAGCCUGGUCAUGUCCGCAACCUGCGCCUCUCAGUCGCCGGGGGAGCACACGGAUUCGGCGCAGGGGGCCGUACCGCAAUCGAAUGGCGGCAUCAGCGCCGGUCUCCUGCCCGGGAUGCCUCCUGGACCGAACACCUUCACCUGCCCGCAAGCUCCAACGAUGAUGCCUGCUGCCGCGGCGGCAGCGGCGGUGGCCACGAUGGCGGCCGCGCUGCAGCUGCCGCGGCCGCUCCUUUUGCGCCGCCCUGUACCUGCCGCACCGCCGCCUCCACCGCUGCCGGGGGCGACAGCGCCGGGGCUGGUGAGCAGCAUCGGCGGUGGCGGCGGCGCUUUGCCUUCUGGGUCGCGCUCUCGCGACUACCCGCAGCCUCAGCCCCCUCCGCAGCCGCAACGGUCAGGUGGCUCCACCACGGAGCUUAGUGUGGAGGUCAGCAGCGGAACAUGUACGGGAACGGGAGGCAGGGGCGCCGGGGGAAGCGCGCUCGUCGCGGAAAGCGCUGGCGGCAGCUGCAGACGGUACGGCAGGACGGCAACCGGUGUCGGCGACUUGAGCGACGGCGGCGGCUGCGUCAGUGCAGAGCGGGGCGACAAGCGGAAGCGGACGGCGACGGCGGGUCCCGGGGCGGUGGGCGGCGCUGCGGACCCGAGCGAGGGGGCCCGCAGGGGCCUUGGCGGUGUUCCUAGGGGGAGGUGCGCACUGGACGGUCGGGGGCAGCAGGGGGCCCAGCGGCAGCUGCAGCUGCAGGAGGCGGGGGGGCAGGAGGGCGCCCAGCAAUCCGACGGGGGCUCGGAGACCCCCAGCACAUAUCCGCCAGCCGGAAGGAACACGUCAGAGGGGACCCCGAGAGGUUCGCGGGAGACUGCACCUGGAUGUCGUACGUACGACAGUGCGCAUGAGAUUGGGUACGGCAGCGGAGGUGAUGGUCGUACUGAUGACCGUAUGGAUGUGGACGAGCGUGUGGGAGUUUCACGGCAGCGUAUUCAGGGGGAUCGGAGGUCACAGCGCCGUCCGCCGCCGCCGCCAGCAGCGGAUGACCGCGGCGUCGCCGCCGCCGGCAUGUACAAUAUGGGGUACGGCUAUGAUGAUGACGACGAUGGUUCUGAAACCCCGUCAACCAGUGAGACACCCGUCAGCUCCAGUUCCCGGCAGGACGAGCAAUGGUCACGGGACGAGCAACAGCAGCAGCGGCAGCAGGCGGAAUGGCAGUUUCGGCAUCAUCACCUGGUACAACAACAGCUUCAACAAGAAUUACAGCAGCAACAACAACAACAACUUCAACAGCAGCAGCAGCGGCAACAGCCGAUUCAACAGCAGCAGCAAGCGAUCUUCCUCCCCGGCCACGGUGGCGACACGCAGCAGCAACCCGCCCUACGCGCGCUGCUGGGCGAGGCGGGCUUUACUGCCGUACGCGCUACCAUGAUGCGUCAGCAAUCCGUAUUCGUACAGCAGCUGUGUGAGCUGCACAAGCUGGUGCGUGUGCAACAGGCGCUGUGGUCGGAGCUGGGGGUGGUGGAUCCGCUCGGUAUGGCUGCGGCGUGCAGGGCAGCGGGCUUCGCUGGGUUCGGGCCCACGGGUCCCAUCCCUGCGCCUGCCCCUCCCCCACCCCCCCCGCCUCCUGCCCCUGCUGCCGCCAGCGCUGCAGCUAAGACUGCUACCGCUCCUGGCAUGUGUCAGGUUCCCGGGGGUCUGGCGACCGCAGUCUUACCUGGCGGGGCCAUGCAGCAGCGAGGAGGAGGAGACGGAGGAGGUGAAGCUGCAGGUGGUGGUGGUGGUGGCGAUGGAGGUGCGGCAGCAGCAGCAUCAGACGGUGUGGAGGCCCCCCUGAGGAGGUGUUUUCCGCCCCUGCUGUCACCGGAGCAGCUGAUGGAGCGGCUGUUGCUGGACCUGCAGCUGCUGGUCAAUGUGCCGCGCACGUUGAGGGAGAAGGUGGGGUUGGGGAGAGGGAGGGAAGGGGGGGGUAUGUGGCGGGGUAAGGGAGGGAGGCACCUGGGGGGCGUAGAGGAGGGUUCGGGGAGGGAGGAGGAGGAGGAGACAUCUGUGUUGAUGUGGUGGUGGUAGUGGUGGUGAUGUGCAAUUCAUUGCGGCGGCGGGUCUCCCUGCCCCCGCCGGCAGUCGUGCCGUCCCCCUGUACUGCCCCCGCCCCCGCUGCAGCUGCAGCUGGACAUCCCGCGGCAGUCGCUGUCGUGUGCAAGGUGUGCGAACAUCCCCCCGAUACCCCCCUCUCCUCGGCCCUCCACCUCCCCCUCCCCCCCCUCCUUGGUCAGUUCUACUCUUGGUACACUCUUGCCCUGGCAGCAGCUUCACUCGUUCGUGGUUCGUCCUUCCCCCCCUCCCCCCCCCCAGGUGCUACUGCGAGUGCCCCCCGAGCGCCUGCCCAGACCCGGAGCCUUCCCGCCGCCACCUCUGGCUCCGAGGGACCCAGUGGCCCCCGCCGGGGGAGCUACUGCCGGUGCGGCGCCAGGGGAGGCUGCAGCCGCAGCUGGCGGUGGCAGCGGUGCCGCUGUUGUUCGUCCCGCUGCCUCCAAGCUGUACACCAUGAUGGACGGGGACGGACCGGCGCCCUCCGAACAGCCCACGGUGGUGCAGCAGCUGCGACAUAGCAGGGAGCGGGAGGGAGAGCUGGGGGAGAGGAGGGGGACCGGGACCAGCAGGCCCGUGCCUGCCGGCGCCGGCGGGUUACUGGCUGGGCAGCUUCAUCACCACCUUCCUGCGCCUCCGCUGCCCCAAGAUGUGCCGCUUCCCCCCGGGGACCCCCGGCCCACGGGACGAGGUGCGCCACCGCCUCAGCCACCACAUGCCCCGGCCGCUGUUGAGGACGUCACCUCCGCCGCGGUGGCGGCAGCAGCCGCAGCGCCGCCGCAACCGCAACCGCCGAGCCACGGCCAGCAGCAGCAGCAGGCGGGUUCUAACGUAGGCGGUCCCUAUGGCGCGUUUGCUGCUGUUCCCGCCUCCCACAGCCCUGGUUUCGGAGCGGGGGGCAGCCGCUUUCGGCCCUUGGCGCCGCCGCCGCCGCCGUCAUUGCCUGUAUCGCAGUUUCCUGGUACGCCCUCUCCGCCCUCCGCCGUGGACCCUAUGUCCUGGGUGCCCUGGCCACCCUUGGCGCCGCCACAGCCGCCGCCACCACCAUUACCGUCAUCAGCUCCCGCAGUUGCAGUACCCGCAGCAGCCGGAGCAUCAGCAGCUGCGGCGGCAGCGGCGGCGCUAUCGCUGCAGGUCCCGCCUGCCCCUGCAGGGGUUUCCGCUGUCCUUCCGCCACCUCCCCCUCCUCACCAGCCGCAACAGCACCAGUCGCCCCUGUCCACUGCUCCGGCCCUGCCAACGUUGCAACUGCCACUGCCGGGCACCUCCAUGCCGCCGCCGCCGCCCUCUGUUACGGCUACGGCUAAUGCUGCUGGUACAGGUGGCGGUGGCGGUGGCGGUGGUUUUGGGUUUGUCCGACCCCCGGAUCAUGUUGGUCAAGUAGGGCUGAUGUUGCCUCCCCCGCCUGGGCAGCUGCUGCUGUCGCCGCCGUACCGCCCGUCGGGACCGGGAUUUGGCGGGACCCGGACGGGAGGAGCGACGGCAGCGCCCGGUGGAUGUGGUGGCUUCGGCGCCAUGCCGCCGCCGCUGCCGCCGCUAUUCGCAUCCCGGCUCGGGAUGCCGCCUCUGCCGGUAAGCCCCUCCACUGCCCACUUGUCGGCCUAAAUCACCGUGUGUAACACACAUGCACAGCUGACCACUGGGCGAAUGUCCACCGAUUAAACACCACCUCGAGCCCUGCUAUCACCGAGUCAUCCACCAACACAGCAGGAAGCCAAUCCCGUCCCGUCCCGUGUGUCACAUAUUGCCGUACAUGCAGGCUCCAGGACCACCUAUUACCGUACAGUCUUAUGCCGGCAUGCCUGCCGUACAAAUGGACCCUCACGAGGCCUGGUUUGCAAAGCACGUGGCGGGGGCGGCGGCUGCUGGUACGGCAGCGGCGGCGCAGGUAGGGGCGCUGCCGCCGGGGGUCGCUCAGGUUGCGACGCAAGGGCAGCAGCAGCAGCAGCUUCAGGACGACGAGCAGCUUUCCGGUAAGGGCAACGAUACUAACGGUAACGGUAAGGAAAACGGUUUGGAGGUUGCCGCCGUGGCUGAUGCCGCUCCUGCUGGUGAGGCUGCUGGUGGUGGUGUUGGCGUUACAACCGGGGGCCCCAUUACAUGUACUGCGGGAGGUACGGCUGUCGCCGCCGCCUCUGCUGCUGUGGAUGGUACGGCGGCCACCCGUGCGAGUCACCCCGCCGCCGCCGCAGCGGCAGCAGAACCGCCUGAGUUGCCUCAGCAGCAGCCGCAACAGCCUCCCGAGGUGGCGGUGGAGUUGUGUGCGGCUGAUGUGGGUGGCGAGGGAGGGCAGCGCACUCCGGGACUCGGCCUUGGUGCUGCUCCCUCUCCCGCUCCCGGCCCCGCUCCCCCCCCGAGUACGGUUUGCGGCCCCGCUGGGGCCCCCUGCCCGCCCGCCCCACUGGGCCCCGUGAGCCGGUGGUGGCGGGAUCCCAACAGCGCCUUCGGAGAGCUGGGGCUGGUGGACCCGCAGGUGGGCGGUAUCCUGGUUAGCAGGGGGUGGGGUCGAGUGGAGGUGUAUGUUCGCUGGGGCACCGUGUUGUUGUCCCUGCGGCCUCAGCUGGUGAUGUGGCGGCGGAGACCGGAAAGAGGAGUCCCCCGCUGCUGCUGCUGCUGCUGUGCUCGGGAGUACCCAGGGGGGGCUCUCCCCUCCCCGGGUGGCCCCGUCCCCGCCCCGACAUGACAUGACAUGACCCGACUGGGGCCGCCCACUUAGUCACCUCCACCUACUGCACACACAUACACACACUCGCUCACCUGGUACAGGCGCUGGGCAACUCACCCGUAUUGGAUGCGGAGGCCGAGGUGGAGGCGGAGGAGGCGGAGGCGGCGGGGGAAGAGGGCAGGUGGGUGAGGGUACCACGUGAUGGAGGGCACCCCGUGGGCCGCACCACACACUUCACAUCACGUUGCGGGAGGGCAGUCGGGAGACCUCGGCCGGGUGGAUCACCGCUUUCAAGUGGGGCGUAUCUCCGUAACCCUCGAAGUCGCUGAGAACCCGGUUCACUCCCGUCAUCACAACCUGCUGAAGCCGCACUCCCCGAUGACGUUCCUCUGCUUCCUACAGGACUGCGGGCCCACCGGGGCCACUGACGGGAUCCGGACAGCCGCUCAGUGCCGCCGCUGCCGCCGGGGGCAUGCUUGGUCUGCCUCUCCCGCCCCUGAAGAAGCGUGGCAAGAUGCUGGCGGCGGCGGCGGCGAACACCAGCGGCCCGCCGCUGCUGGCGGCGGCGGCGCUGGCGGCGGCAGACCCCGCCACGGCGGCGGCUGUCGCUGCACUGCUCGCCUCCGCCAACCUGGGUCCCCCUCCGCUACAACAACUGCCACCCGGCGGCGGCGGCGGCACUGUUGGCGGCGGCGGUGGCGGACACCUUUCACCGUUUCAGCUCCCGCUCCCGCUGCAACUACCCGGAUUCCCGGGGGGGCAGGGAUUGGCACUGCCGCUGCCGCACCCAGCCGCCGGCGCCGGUGCUGGCCCCGUGGGCCCUACUGCCGGCCCCCAUCAUACGGCGGCUGCGGCGGCGGCGGCGGCCCGCCAGCACCAGCAGGCGGUGCUGUUAGCUACCACCCGCUUGCUGCAGUCCUCGGCGUUCAAGGUGGGUUGUGUCAAAGGGGGGGAGGGGCCCCGUGGGGCGAUCCCUAUGUGAGCGGUCGAGGGGCCCUGGGGGGCCGGGGAGGGGAGGGUCGUGGGGAGCCACGACGAGGAGCGGGACCCCGACCAGACCCUUUGGCACUCGGGUGAAGCCGCUCCCGCCUGCGUCCCCCGCCAUGCGACGUACCCUGUCAGCUCUGCUGUGUGCCCACCUGGGGACCGCCCACCCCUGGGGACAUUUUGUUCAUGUGCUGAAGCUGAUGCUGUCGGACCUGAAACACCUACCUGCCACCUACUCGUCUUUUGCUACUGCUUCUCUCCCCGCCAACCGCCAACCGCCUACCCGGCAACCCCCUCCCUCCAAUACGAUGCACUCCGCGGUUUCCCUCGUAACGACACAGCCCGUCGCGCCACGUCAGCAGCACAGCAACCGAGGAAGCAACCGCCUAACCGCCACACAUACGGCAACGGAGUCCAUGGCGAGUGGCUUCUCGGGAGGGGGGACGGCGGGCGGUGCGGGCAGUCACUGGGCCGGGGUGGUGGUGGGGGCGGGGGCAGGUCGUCGGGCCGCCGCCGCCGCCGCCGCCGCGGGCAGUCGUCCGGAGCAGUCUGAGAACGGCGGCAGCCGCGCCGAUGGUAAUGACAGUGCCCGCGGCGCCAACCACUGGACGAGCAUCAACGGUGGUACGGCAGCCAGGUCUGGAGUGGCGGGGGGCCGACCGGGGGUUGCGUCGCGGAGGGGUGCGAGGGUGCCGGAGGGGGAGGGGGAGGGGGAGGGGAGUGAGGCGGGGGGGGCGGCGGCUUCAGAGGCGGGGGGCUGGGUCCCGAGCAGGGCAGGAGGAGGAGGUGGGGGUGCGGGGCCCGAUGGUGGGGGCGGGGGGGCCGGGGGGAACUCGGGCUCCCGCCGUAAAGAGGCCCUGGGGGCUGGGUACGGCAGCGGUGCCGGCGGUGCCAGCAGGGGCGGGUGCGGCGGCGGAGAGCGAGGUGGCGGCGGUGUGGUGCCCUCCGGGGUGGAUGUGGCGCUGGCUGCGGCAGGGGCAUGUGGCGGGGUUGGCGGGAGGAGAGGACGGGUUGCGGCUUUCGGCACUGAGAGCCGGGAGGUGGCGGAGGGGCGGCUCAGGGCGGGUGUAGAGGGGCCGGGGGGGGAUGAACCUUGUACGACGGAUGGCUCGGCUCAAGUGGACAGUGGGCUGAAUGCGGAUGCGGAUGCCACCUCCAGGGGCUGACCCGUGGGUCAGUCGGCUAGUUUGCGGCCUGCUGCUAUGGUAAGGGUAUUGAAUGACCGACACGGGUGUGGCUAUGUACGGCUAUUCAACUCCCCCGGUUGUCGGGGGGAUUUUGGUUUCGGAGAGGUGGGUUUUAGGUUGAUUCUGUUUGUUAACAAACGCAUGUCACACACACACACACACACACACACACGUGGAGGAGCUCUUGCGCUUACGGCUGAAUUUUCCCACGGCGCAUUCUCGUACCUGCUUGGGGGGACGCAUGUUGCUAACCGUUUCGUUUCGUUUUUAUCCUUAUGAGUCAAUCAUUUUAAGAUUGUGCAUUAAUGGAUGCUGUGACGCUGUUGCUGUCGUACUGCACGUGGAAUUGCAGCACGGCGGGGACCAGGGUCCGGCCCCAUGUUGCGACGCCUCGUGCUGCUCGCCGAACAACAGUAGGGAAGACAGGGCUGUCCGGGGCGGUGAUGGUGGCCGCUGAGUUCUGUACGGAAUGUUGAAAAGUAUGUCAUAAGAAAUGGUUUGGAGUGUGUGUGUGUGUGUGUGUGUGUGUGUGUGUGUUGCUGGGCGCCGACCACAACGGCAACGGACGCGCUCGUGUGCUUCUCUGGUGGCCGACGAUGAUUGCCGUCGUCGUUUUUCAUAUUUUGAUGGCGUUAACGGUUUCGUUCUCGUACGUCAUGCUGUACGAUACUCAUAUUUUUGAGGUAAGGAUAAAAGCCAAGUACAGCUAAAGGAUAAUUGGUUGAUAUGCUGUUUCUCAUUUGUGCCGUACUCAGCUCCCUGAUGGAGCGAGUGCUGGAUUUGUUUUGCUCUAUUUGCUCCCACUGCCCCGUUGCGGUGCCCGGCUGUUGUGAUGUGGAGUCCUAAACUGGCACCGCCGCAUGAAGGUCCCUCUAGGCGGUCCACUCGCCCUCGGGGCGGUACUACUAGCUAGCUAGCUAGCUAGAGGGUCAUCGAACUGUUUUAUGAAUCGUUUCGUUUGUACCGGUCGGUUAUCGUGUCACCAUCGUUGUGCUCUUUUGUUAGGAUUUGUGAUGUAGUGCUGUGGGGCCUGUUUGAGCUGUACUACGAUGUACGGCACAUGUUGGACGAGUGGACAGACGAUGGCCCUACGAGCUGCAGAUUUGGACUCAUACCAAGUGGCGGCUGUGGACCUAGUGGCGGCUGGCGGCGGCAGCAGCUCGGGCCAAGGGCCAGGCUCAGGUCCAAGUUGUGGGAAGUGGCUCUUCAGCUGUUGUAGAGAUAAUAGCUGAAACAGCGCUAUGAAGGAAUGGAGAUUGACUCGGGCUGGCUGACCGUUGUGGGCACUCCUGCGUGCAGUACAGCCAGGUUGGCGGCUCAUGAGCAGGCGAGGAAGUUUGCAGGUAUAUCCUGACUGUUGCAAACUGUACGAUAUCUCCUCAAGAGUGCCCUCUCAGAACUGAACUUCUGCGACCGGGUUCUCUGUUGCCGCGGCGGGUGGCCCCGUUCACCGUCGCACCGCCACUCGGACCCUGCCGUACACUCAGUCAGCCAAUGCCGCCACAGGGGCCUCACAGGGCACCGUACGGCGCAGGCCGAACUAUCGCAGAUAGGGGUUCCCGCCCAGCGGCCUCUCCACCGCUGCCUAGCUGGCUUCAUUGAUAAGCGGCUUCGCGCAGUGGUUGUGGGUUGUGGGUUGUGGGUUGUGGGUUGUGGACGAGGAACCGAACUAAACUCCAAAAGCAGCAGCGGGUUUCCUGCCGAAGGCGAUACAGGUCCGGUCGUUUUCGAAGCAGUCAGUGUACCCAAGAUAACUGGUGGCGGGUGCUACCACAUAAUAGUGAGCCGUGGCAGACCGCAUCCCGUGCCGGUGCCCUGCUCGGGUGUCGUGUCCCGUGGGCAAUCCGGACCUCAGUUGGGUUGGUGGUGCUGAUCGACACGGCGGGAGGGACCGCACUUCACGUGUACAGGGGAGGGGGGUAGUGUAAGCAAUACAUGGGUGUCAUGUUGUAUCCGCGGCAGAGUGGAUGAUGUGGCUUUGUCCCCGGCACGGCCGGCUUUGCCAGCGUUGACACGUCCUCUUGACCGCACAUGUCAUCACUGCCACGUUGAAAGUGCUUACGACGUAGCCGUCGUAAUCUUGAUAAAGAUGUGAGUUUCGCAUGGCGCUCGUAACAUACAAAGCCAGUACGAAUGUAGAGGACGAAACGGGCAGCUGUACAGUCUUGUCAACAGUCACGCGAUUAACAUGCGGGAUUGCAGCUAUUUCGAGGUUAACCUACAUCGUCGCACCGUAAUAGCUAGCUGGACCUCUAGGCGAGGCUUCCUAACUGCUUCUGGAGAAGAGGGGGAAGAGUGCACUUUGUUGUAGUCGUUAUUCCUGUUAUGUACCUAGCAAGAGGUGAUUUGCCAGGCUUCCUUAGAUGGGGUCUCCGAUUGAGGAAGGCAGCCGCAUCGUUAAGGAAGUAAUUGACAGCGGCGCCUUUGACGACAUCCGAAAGAACGUGAGUACCAUCUGUUGAAUAAAGGACAGCUGGUGCAGUUAUAUAAGAUUUCAUUUACUUGCAGGUGUUCGAGGAGCUGCGGCAAAGCUCCGCUUUACGGGAUUACGUUCGUGAGCAGGUCGACAACAGCAAGACUCUCAGUGGAGAUAGUGCCAAAGCAUGCAAGGACCGAAAGAAGCUCCUUGAGGACCUACAGAAUGAACUCAAGUAUCUUGCGGCCCUUGGGACAGCUAUGCCGAGUAUUUACAGAGCUGACCCCGGAAUGUCCUUUCCUUAUUUUUAGGGAUAGACUGGUGGAGAGAGCUUCCCGCCUAGUCUGGGAGAUACUGACAAGCACCGAUGGACGCGUUGCACAGGACAUUGAGUGCAAGGUCAGUCUUACAUUCUCCGCGCUUCCGAAGUGGACUUGAUACACGGGAUAUAAUGCAUUCAUUCAGGUACACGAGGCUGUCUGUCACCUCCACGAUCUUCGCGAAAAGCAGCAGCAGGCUGCCACUGCAACCCAGCAACAAUCCCUGCCCGCACCGCAAAGUCAGCAGAUUUUAUCAGAUGCCGGGCAAGGCGCGUCCCUAGCCUCGCGCCUGGCGGCAACGUCCACCGCCACGCUGGCGGGGCAACUACAUCAUCAGCAACAGCCAAAUCGACCGCCACCCCGGCAUUACGGAGUGUACGGCAAUCUAUAGUACAUCAGGAUCCGUUCGGCCGAGUAUUGAGACUCUAUCCACACAGUGUGGAUAAACACUGAACUGAAGCUCCAAGCGUCCGUACCAUUCGUAUUCACAAGCUCAGCUGCUGGGGUGUGCUCCUGCUGUGCCCCUAGUAGAGCUGAUCCGGAAUGAGGACCUGUGGCGGGAAAGCAGGAGAAGGUUGCCCGGGUGGGACCAAUCUUGUGGCUUUUCGUGAAGUGAGAAUUCAUGGACACCCGCCAGCAUGAACACGUCACGAGGCGGAAAACAAAACAGGUGCAGGGUGUUGUGUUAAGGUUGUUUCACGGGAGGCACAUAGGUCAUUUCGGCGUACACUGUGAACGCAUGUUGUGGUGGUCUGUAUGCUUCCCACGGCUGACUGGCUGCCGAGCCGUUUCGUUGGAGGGCUUUUUGUUGAUAUACACAUGCGCAACAUACCUAAACAACGCUAAAUGUGUAAACCCUGUGUAAUGAGCCAAGUCGCGGGGCGGCACCCAGCUGGUUCCCCCACCCGCCCACCAUGUGCAUGUCCCGAGCCGUCUCCUCCAAAUUGAGGGUUUCGAAGUCCCCGGUGGAGUACAGCACUCGGGCCUCCCGCGUGGUCACGUUAACCUCCUGCGCGGUGCCGGUACCGUGCGGUCGGAGGGGUAGGAAGCGGGUUGAGGUGAGAGGAUUCCCCCGGCAAAACGAUUCCAGGGCAGGGCAGGAAAGGAUUGAAGAUAGGGGAUUCAGGGGACCAGCCGCAGCAUUAUAUAGGGAUUGUGGACGGCGGGAAGGCUGGCUGGGUCCAGCAGCUCAAAGCAGCAGCAGUAGCAGCAGGAUCAUCCUGAUUGUUGGUAAAGAGGCCGGCUGGGUCUGCAGCCCAGAACCUGCUCUGCUAGGGUUACCUGUAUACAGCGUAAACACCCAUCCCAGGUGUCACGUCUGGCUUAGAUCCUCCUCCGCCACCUCACAGCACAGCAACUCCCAGUCCCUCCCCACCCCAACACCCACCCACCCACACCCACCCACCCACACCCACCUGUAUCUCAAUGAGGUACCAGAGGUUGUCAUCAGGCCAGAACAGCUCUGCAUGUCGCCCCACCAGGUCCUCCCGGAUGUCUUCGGGACACAAGUAACGAACAAGACCACCCGUAGCGGCCUGGGGUCGGGAAGACGACGACUUGUAGCCUGCAAGGCAACGAACCAAACAACGUGAGGGGUGCCGGCCACAAUGCCGGUGCAAGGAAAAGGGAACCCUAGUUUACAUGUUCAUCGACGUGGUGCCAUGUGUACGGAAACAGCCAUGUCCCGAUACCAGCGGGUGCAGUGCCCUCCCCCACAUAGCACAGCACUCCUUACCGGCGGGUGGUGGCCGCAUGAAGGGCACGGGGGCCUCCGCCGCCACGGGCUCUUCGUAAGCGGGUAAUGAGUCCAGCGGAUAGUCCUCAAACGCGGAGGGCUGGGAGCGGGAUAAAGGGAGAGAAGCAGCGGGACGCGAUAGACGACGUGUUUGAAGUUGAGUUGGCUCUUGAAUGCCCCAAGUUCAGGAAGCAGGAGGGGAACAAGGACCGUGGCAAAGCGUGUGGACGCGUUGGACAGAGUUCGUGUUUGCUCCGUUCGUUAGCCGAAGGAGGGACAAGGUUGCGCUGUUGCGCUCCCUGUGGCUGGGCCGAUGCUCGCGUACGGCAUGGUCGUACGACCUGGCAGGUGCAGCUACGUAGACAGUCGGCCCGUUUGACGUGGGGUUCGACAAUCCCCGCGUCAGGGACUCCAGUAGUAAAGGGCGCCACCAGUAUGAUAUUUAUGAUCGUAUUUCCACACACUCCUGGGCCUCCACUUGCCCUACCUGCGAGCUCAGUUGCAUGGCUGCAACUGCCGCCUUCUUCUUCACGGGGGCCUGCUGUCCCCCACCGCCUCCAGCACCGCCACCUACUGCCCCUGUACCUGCCACCCCGUCCUCGUCCCGAGGCCGCUUGCCCUUGCUGGCCACAUUCUGCGUCGCGGCGGCUUUUUUGGGUGGCGGGGCAGGGGCGGGCGGCAGGGACAGCUCCUGCUGCAACGACAUAUUGAAAUCCUCAAGCCGCGGUGUCUUCCCCCGUGUAGUGUCCAGUGCAAAGUCUUGGAGAUACUCCAGGCCUGCAUCGGGAUUGUUCCGCCGCAGCUCCUUAUCUAGGUCGUCUGUAACCCGCUCCAGUUCCAGUGCGUGCACCUCCAGCAGGUCGUGUGCCUGUUGUGCCAACUGCACUUUCUCCUCUGCAAACUGCACCAGCAUCUUCUGUGCUCCUGCCACUCGCGAAACCAGCUCUUCAUACUCCGGACUGACUGCCGGUUGCUGGUGUGCAUGGGGCAUCCCCAACAACACGCUCACGUUGGCUUGCAAUUCUGACGACAAGUCGUUGCACUUUUCGUCAAGGGCUUUGAUGGUGUUGAGGAUGCGUUGAAGCUCAGUCGGGAGGCUCCCGGUGCUCUCUAUGAAACUUUCCAGGUACAUCACAUUUGCAGAGUUGUGUAGGGCCAUCACUAUUGCUAAAUAAAAAUGUACCUGUUAUAAAUAAGCCAUUAACUAUCUGUCGGGGAGUCAAUAGAAGAAUCCGUCACCAGCAGCUUUCAUCGUCAUACAUCUAGAAGCGCGCAGGUUUAAUUUUAACCAAUGCCUUAGCAGCUGCAUCAAAUACCUCCUUGCCUGUGGGAAAAUCCGAGCAAAGUUACUGAGGGCCGUACUACUGCUGGAUUUUCCAUCUGCGAUGUCUUUGUGGGCCACCGUUGCCCAUAAAGGUAGCAGCGUGGAUAUACCUACAAAAUCCGAUCAAAAUAAACCUGCCACGCACCAAUGUCUUUACAAAGUCACUCGCGUUUCGCGUGCAAGUCGUCGGUUUGGGUUUGGUCGAGGAGUCCCUGCGCGUGCACACGCGCUCCUCCUCACAAACUGGCACCAAUGCCUUGUUUAUUCAACACAUCGUCAUGUCCUGAGUUGCGCCCUCGCGGCGGGCAGCUGGUGGCGCACGCGUCGUUAUCCUCGGAGGCAGCCUGCUUGAGGCUGACAGCGACAGAUGCAGCGGGCGCUGCUUCUGGGCACGUAUCCCCCUCUCCCUGGGCUGAUGGGGACGUAUUGCGACUACAGCUCGCUGACGGCCGAUACGUGUAUGCGGAGGUCCUGGCAGGGCUACCUGCUCCCCGUACCAGACAAGUGCCCCCAUCCAACCCGGUGGGAGCGCGGCGGGAGGGGUCCAUCAGCCCACCGCAGCUCCUGUGCCAGGGCAUCAGGUACAGAGUCCGUACCGCUGCUGCGCGGGGGGCGGCGGAGGCAGCAGCUUCGGAGGCGGGGAGUAGUUCUGUGCAGCAAGAGUCGGGCGGCGAUGGGCCUCCAGAGAGUCUGGUUCUGGAAGCCGUAGGAGGUGAGGGAGCCUUCGCGUUCGCGUUGGCCGUCUGCCUGUCGAUCGGUUUGCAUGUCUGUCUGUUGGCCCUGCACUGUCCAACGACCACAACCGCCACAUCACUGCUGGAAAACGGGCGUCCAACGGUGCAGCAGAAUGGUUGGCUUACCAGAGCUGUGGUCCACCUAGUAUGACUGUGAGAUAGUUCGUUCGCUGGUCAGUGCGCACCCCAGGCGGCAGAUGGCACCUCGCUGCACAGCACAGCUGGUGUGUCUACCGGUUGUGAACCACACACGGCACAACCCCCCCCCUUCACUCCCCUUCCCUCCUCUCCCUUCCCCUCCCUUGACCCGUUGGGGAUAUAGACGCACCGGGGAGGGCCCAAUGGUCUCCCCCCGCCACCCUCCUGCACAACAACCCCCUACCAUUCCCAGUACCGCUCUACUGCCCGCUGUGUAUCCGGCAGGGGCGCUGUCUCCUCCCGCCAUCAGCACUAGCAGUAGCGGUACCAGCAGUAGUGACCCGCUCCGAGCACUGCUACAGCUGCUGCAGUCCCCGCCCCGGAAGCAUGCAGCUGCGUUGCGGGCCUGGGCACCUCUGGCGAGUCGCCUGCUGCGGCCACCGCAACUACCACAACUGACUGCAACAGCCUCCACGUCCCCAGCACACCAGCAGCAGCAGCCGCAACCGCCAGCUGCCCAACCCCUCCCUGCUGCUACUGCUGCUGCUGCUGCUGGUUCGACACUGGACGGUGUCCGGGUGGCCGUGGUGCGGCGGGUGAUGUCGCUGGACGAGCUGAGGGGGGCGGCUGCCAGCCAUCCGGGUGCCUGGUGUGACGGCUCAGGUGGGGCUCCCUGGAGGGGGGCUGAGGGGGAGAGGAGCCGCCCGGGGCUUGUCUUACGGAGGGUCUGGGGGAUAUGGGGCCCUUGGGUUGGGGCUGACAUGACCAGGAGGACAGGACCCGGUGUUACGGGGUGUUAGGGGUCGAGUGGUAAAUGAGAAGAGACGAAAUAGGGCCUUAUGAAAUGUUUUUGUUUUUGGGGCGUACGGCACGGGGCUUCUUACACAGCGGUACAUGAAUGCCGUGGUGGCUACUUGGGGGCAACCGAACAGGAUCGGUGUAGGCGUCUUGGUGCGGGUGCUGCUAGUCUUACCACUGCAGGGGCAAUCUCUUACCUCCCACGCACCCGCACGGGAGCCGCAACUCAACGCUCCUCGGGGGGUCCUAUGUUCCCUGCCGCCUGUGUGUGUAUGUGUGUGUCUCGGUGUGUCUUGGAAGGCAAACCCCUCCAACCGUUCAUCUGCUCCUUUUUGCAACUGUAUGUACGGCACUGUGGCUCUGCUGCGGUUGGGGCCGGUUGACACCCCCAACCCCCCUAGUAUUGGAGUAUCCGUCUAUGUGUUUUCCUUUCCGUCAUUUAUCGUCUGUGCUUCGUCAUACCGCCACCCCACCCCCCACACCCCCACACCCGCAGGCCCCUCUGACCGGGGCCCCGCGGAGGACAACCUUGCGGUGAUGACGGCGGGGGAGGUGGCCAGUCUGCUGGAGGGGCGCCGGGGGGUGGUGCUGCUACAGCUACACAUAGGAUGGGGGGCGCACGAGGAUGUCCCGCCGUACGGACCGUACAAGCCUCUCGUACUGCGUCUGCUACGGGAGGCGCUGGAGCGUCCAGACAUUGUGUCGUACGUCAGCAGCGCCCCGGUGCCGGGAUCUGCGGUCGGUAACCCUUCGUACGGCAUGACUCUGGUGCUGUGCGGGGACAGGGAGCCCUUCCGGUCGUGGGGUGCACAUCUGGCCAGUUUCGGUUGCCAGGUUGGUUGGGACCCGCAAGCUGCGAUGUGACGUGGUCUCCACGGGGCCCAGCGUUGACCGGGGGAAAGGGGGGCUGUGGUCCAUGUGGCUCAGGAGGCGAAGAGGGAGGGCAAUUUGGAGUGGGAAGGGCAAUUUGGAGUGUGCAUAGAAGGUUUCGCAACCCUGGGGGCCUAGAUGGUGAUGGUGGGUGCUAGGGGUGCGUGAAAAGAGGUGACUGGAGACCCCGUCAUGUCGGGGCCCCACCAUGCAUGCUUCAUCGCCGAAUAGAGCCGCACGAUGACGAUGAUGAUGACGUGGCUGAUGUGGCCGCUUGCCACAGGCAGCGCUGGAAGCUCAGUCGCCGUAUUACAAGCUUCUGAUUGGGCGCAUUCUGGGUUACCGGGAGGACAGCAUCUUGCACCACAUCAAGGUGCGGUUGGGUCGGGUAUAAAUGUACGUAUGUGUGCGGAGGGGGUGUACUCCAGGAAGCCCUCUAGCGCGGGGGCCUCAUAUGGGGCUCCAAGACAUCGGACUGACUGCGACCCGCACUUCUCCUCGUUGGCACUGCCGUGCUGCUGCCGCCGCCACAUGCUGCCCCGACCGCAAGCCCUACCCACGUACACGUUCCCCACAUUAACGAGGACCCUUUCCCCCACUACUGAUGCAUAUACGGUGCACCGCACCUGGGGGGUGCGGGUGGUCCUACCCGGACGGUACCUUCCUCCUCCUCGCCGUUGUUUGCUGGCAUCUGGUGGUCCUGAUGUGUACGACAGGAGGCGCACGGCCCCACAGCCCUCACCCCCCAGGUGGCCACCGCGGUGGAGCAGCAGCUCGGGAAGCUCAGUGCUAAGAAACCUACCCUACCCUGGAAUGUGAGCUCCAGGGGCGGUGGGGGAGGAGGUGGUGCAGGGGGCGGAGGGGGAGGGGGCAGGAAGAAGGCCAAAUAGCGGCCAUGCCCCCGGUUGACGUACUCCCAAUGUCGGUAGGCGGCUGCCGGGAUGUACCACCGCCGCCACCACCACCACAUAGAGGACACACACUGGAAAGGCCGAAACAGCCGCUUUGGAAACCGCUGUUUCUAAUCUGUACCCGGCAGGAUGCGAAUGUGGUGGUCGUUUCGGACAUGAGGGGUGCUUGGGUUGGGCUCACUCCCCUUUUCGGGUUUUGCAGCCAUGCAGGGUGGUGUGUAACACGACUCAUUGGGUGUACCGGGCGGAUUGACGGAUCCGCAUACGGGGAGGACCGUCCCCAGGUCCGGGUCCCGCCCGCCUAUGUGGCCUCUAGAGUGCAAGUGCGCGGUAUGAUAUCAGAGGGAACAGGAGUACGGACUGGAACACGGGAGCAGCAGGUAGAGACUAGGUAGCUGGUGAGGGGUGGGAACGGCACUCCGAGAGACACUCGCCUGGCCAAAGGGCCGCAUGGAAAGUCCACACUCCUCUCCUCUCCUUUCUUUCGUGACUGGCGGAUGCCGCCAAAGAGCUCUCCUCCCUUAAAAGUGCGGAUACUGAGUACCCGGGUAACACUGUCUGUCUGUUUGUCUGUCUACCUGGAAAGCAGUUGGCGCCAGAACAAGCCACUUCCUCCCCCUCGGCUUGCCAUUGUGGUUCGCAACCGUGCACAAGACACACACAGCACACUAUUAAAAACUAUUAAAUACACGGGGGGGUGUACUCGCGGCCCACUCGGAGUAACCCUAUUCGCACAUCCGCCACCCGUACAACCCCUCAGAAAGGAUUUAGGGCCGCUGGACGAGUUCAGCCAUCGGAGCAUCCAUUUAAGUACUAAGAUCUCUUCCAUCCAGGCGUCUCUUUUCUUUCUUUCGGUCGUUUCGUGUAUUAUUACUUUCCGGGCAACCCCCCCCUCUGGUGGGUGUACCCCGCAAUCACGAUGGCGCCAAAAUAAAUCUUGAGCCUUCACCACACCGCACCACACCACACCACAACGCACACAAAAUCAUCUGCACGUGAGUAAUGAGCCAUCGCGAUCUGCCCUGCCCUGCCCAGACUCCUGCGAACACCCUCCCCCCUUCCCCCCCAAAAGGGGAGCACCCAGUGUUGUCCAACCUAGCCCCACACCGCGGGGCCCGCUGGGUGGGAGCAAACACUGGGAGGAACUUAGUGGUGGCUCCGAGCACCACCCGGUAUCUGCUAGCCCAAGAGCCCCCCUGCCCCCUGUCACCCCGCAUAGGAGCGAAAAUAGACCAAUGUGCUGGUGCUGGUGGGGCCCCGAGCAGGUGCAGGUCGGGCCCUCAAACGGGAAAUCCAAAAUCCCGGUCCUUGAGGACAGCCGGGGCUAUGACCGUCCAGCCGUACAGCAGCGCGCACACCCAGCCACUCGCCACCUUGACCCAGGUACUGGCCCAGCCCUUGUCGAUCUCAAAGGCGGUGGUGGACUGACUGACGGCCCAGUUGGUGAAGAGCAUGGCCAGGUAGCAGGAGGCGGUGGCAAACACCAAGUGGAAGAAGUCGGGACGGUACGGCAGCUCCUGUGAGUCGUCAUCACCUCCAGAGCCUGCUGCACUCUUGCCCCCCCCGAACAUGUCCCGGCUUGAAACGCCUGUGGUCAGGAUGUAGCAGUGAUCAGAGGUGCGAACGCCAGGGCGAAGCUCGAAAACCAAAGCAAUCGCAAAGGUCAGGUCAGACCCGGUCGUCAGCUCAUCCGGCCAUGUGGCCUCCGGAAGACCGGUGUCGAUAGCCCCGACCGGGCCCGAGCAACCACCGCCACCACCAUCAAAGCCUCCAAAGAAGAAAGAAUGAAGGAAACGCAUCCUGCUGCGCGUACCUAGCUACUACAUUCAUACAUACAUAAAUACAUACCUGCAUCCAGAGUCGUAUAGAUGACGGCGGCCAGGGCGAUGAAGAACGCCACCACCCCCACCCAACCGCCCGCGCUGACACCGCCGCCCCGCACGCAGCGGUUGGCUGGCUCAGAUGCCAGCGCCGAGUAGGUGAGGUAGGAGCAGUAGAGCCAGACCGCCCCCGAGGUGAGCAGCCCGGCGGUGGGGGCCCUACCGGGCACGAACAGCACCCCCACCAGCAGCAGCCCCACCACCAGGUUCCAGGUGAUGAAGAACAGGUUGAGUGAGCACGAGCCGGUUGGGGCGUAGUAGUGGUAGGUGAUGCCCGUCAGGACCUGGGGGACCGAAACACACACCCAUGUGCAAGGAGGAUGGAGAACGAGGUGGUGGGGUGUCCAAAUUGCGGAGAGCGGGGGAGGGGGCACCGGGGGCGGGAAGGCCCCCACGAGGGGGUGGGCGGCGAAAUGCGGUCCAGUGAUGUGAUGUGCGUAGGGGAGGGGAGGGGAGGGGAUGGGAGGAUAAACGUUGCCGCGGUAGUGGUGAUCCCCGGACGGCUUGGCAGUGAUGAUCAGAGAGAGGCGACCGUUCUUGUCAUGCGAGAGUGGUACCCCCGGGGGACCCCAGCAUGGUGGUGGGGGUGGGGGCGGGGAGAGGGGCACAGCACAGCCAGUACCCCCGGCGACCUGGGGGCCGCAGCGCCUCCACUCCAGUCCGGGCUCAGUCCGUAGCCCUCCUGACCCGACCCGAUCCGAAGCCAGCAGCACAGGAAUACACACACAGACAAAUCGACCAACGAAGCGAGCGCCUUAAACGCAGCAUACCUCACGCCAACCACAGCCCCAAUCCCUCCUUCCCUACCCCCUACCACCCACCCCACCCCCCACCCCACCACACCUACCAGUCCCCCCCCAAAGCUGACUGCAGUGCCCCCCACCAGCACCGCCCAGGCGGCCCGCGUGUCCCUCUCCACCAGCCACUCGUUGAUCUGCAGAGGGGCACGUAGGGCCCAUGUGAGCCCCAGCAGGGGUCCCCAUGCAGGGGGGGAGUAAUCGCAAGCCGGUGCUGCCGUUUAUAGUGACGGUAGUGGCUUUACUGAUUAUGAUCAUGGUGGUGGUGGUGGAGGUGAUGGUGGUGGAGGCGCAGCAAGGCGUACAAACGCGGCGCGGCAGCCAAACCGACAUUAACCCCCCACCGCACCUCGUACACAAAGUUGACGAGCAGCACCAGCUGUAAGAUGAGAAAGACACCGCUGGCGUAUCUGGCAAACUGGGCGUAUCCGUACAGUGCCGUAUUGGGCAGCCACAUGAAGCCGAUCAGGGAGCCCAGCCACGUGACCAACUGCAACAACCGAAAAUAACGGACAAGGGGCAACAAUUGAAACACAGUUGCGAACGGGUACUGAAGGCCCAGGACUCCCCCACCGUCACCUCCCAGGACCGCAAUGGAAGCUAGGCUAGAUUCAAAACACACAUCCGCCGCGAGGAGACCGUGACGAGGCCUUUCCGUACAUUGGUACAAGCCAUUGAUCUUACUGUCUUUGCUAAGCUCAGCUAAGUGCAGCGCCCCUUCACACCGGCAGAUCGCGUGUAUGCCGUGGAGGGCGGCAUCCCUCCUCCUCCCUCCCUCCCGUCUCACACUCCCUGCCGCCCCCCCCCACCUGCCACACCCACAGCCCCGCAUGCAGAUCCACACGGGGGUCCUCAGACCGCGUGAGCAGCAGACACCCCAGCAGGUGGGCGCCGAAGUAGAUCAGGUUGGCGAAGCUGACCCGCAGGGCCACUUCCUUGCCGGCACAGGAGCGGACCAGGGUGGGAUCGGAGGACUGGGGGUUGGGGGGUUGGGGGGGAAUCCGGCAGGCAGGGGGUCAGUCGGAAAGCCACAUAGGACAUCCCCCCUUGGAAUAAGGCUUCCCCGACUUCCUCACCUGCUUGCAUAACUUGAAGGAGCUGACUUCCCGAGCCAAGAAUUCGCCGCCAUAAUCGCGAAGUACCCACACAGCGAUGGCUGUGGCUGUAAACCCGACACAAUAGAGCCAUUUUGCGACGGUAAAGCGCACGCGAAGGCUGACGUCCCACCCGCCAAAGCAAAUUAGUGACAGACACAUGUCCGCGGAAGAGAGGGGGCCUUGCGACGGCAGCGAUGAGCGCGGCGAUCGGCCCCCUGCUCGUCCAAUGUCACAGAAAAGGAACCUUUGACGCUUCCCUGCACAGCUGACAGCUGCAGUCACCUAGGGUGUUCCAUUGCCGCGUUCAGCAUGCAGAAGUAUUGGAAGGCUACAACUUGCUUAACUUCUCUUUCCAUGCUAGGCAGCUGUGUAGUAUCGUCAUAAGGUUACUGUACUAAGUGAUUCUUUGCGUACAUGUAUUUGUGGACAGAGAGACACUUUCGAUUUACAACACCUUCUGGUAGUUGCCUUUGAAAGUUCCUCGGCAGCUAUAAAACCCGAACAGCUAACACAGAAUCACAAAUUCGGAGAAGUAAUAUCUUUUAAUGCAAAUUCCGACUGCAGCAAUAAGCUACAUCGAUGCACGCAUUGAUGUCAGGGCCGCUUGCUAGGAACCAAAACGGCCUACCGUUGGCCAGGUGCUGUACGGACAUUAGCAAGUGUAGGUACAUAGUGUACAUCAGUUACAGUUAAACACCUGAGCUCUUGAACCCGAUAGUCAUAAUGAGAACAUAAAUGCUUUGGAGUUCCAGUUAUCGCCAAGCCUGGACCUCUGAGCUAACCAUGUGCUCAGGGCAUUAUGAGGGCACCAGCCGCGAGAGCAAGGUGUAAGUCCCCCCUGCGACCAGGAGCACACCGCUGGCCGGCGUCACCCAGGCGGAGUACUGCCGCAAAGCCAUGAGCUCCUUCACCAUGCCCUGCAGCAUAAGCGGAUCAACAGUGAUUAGCACAGAAACAACGCCAGCAAAACUGUCCCACGUUUUCUCGAGCCGCAGUCGGUAGCUGACGCCCGACACCGGCAGCCGCAACGGCAAUAGAAACUGGACCCCCUGUUUUGCCGCCGCACCCUGUCCGACCCUGUCGUGAACCAGGCCCGCCCCCUGGCUCACCGUGAACGAGGCCGCCAGCAGCAGCGGCCCCACGUACCCGCACGUGUACGCCAGCAGCAGGGCCCCGCCCUCCAGCGGGUCGCGAGUGGCGGACACGUAGGCCAGCAGGGUGGCCAGCACGGGCGUGCUACGGCCGACCAGGUGCAUUGCACCCACAGCGCGGUACCACACACAGACAUACAGAGCACACACAGGCACAUGGAGCACACGUCAGGCUAGGCCCGGAUGUGCGGUAAGGACUCCCAAGGUCCCGGGGCCAGCACCUGCCGGCCAUAGCGCUCCAGACGCACAACCCGGGGGCGCCUGACGCAGGGCACUGGUGCCCCCAGGAGCUCCCGCCGGCAGCCAGAGGGCUGGACUUCUUGCAGAGGCUGUACGGUAGGGUGCAAUAAGAUUUUGCGGGAGUGCUGUACAAACCUGGAAAUCGCCAACCACCCGCACACCACCCGCACGUUCAGCACCACCCGGGCUACCCCGCUGACCGCCCCUCUCCCACACACCGACCUGCACGGCGAGGCCGCCAGUGCGAAUGUGGCCCCGGCAAGAUAGGCUUGCAGUGCCGGCGGUACCGGGGCUUUACGGACAUCGACGUCCAGGGAGGGCAGUUGCAGCGGGAGAACCUACGGGCGGGACACAACGCAGCAGGGCAGUACAAGGCAGUACAUGGUGGAAUCUCCUCGCCGCUGUAAACUGGAUGUACGGCACGAACCUUUCCUGUGUUCCAUGGCUUAAGAGCAAGACAGCGGUCCGCGCCACGGCUGCAGUGCGAGCGAGCGACCCGAGUCACCGGGGACUGAGGACGGACUGACACGUCAUGCAGGGUAGGCCCUCCAGGGUGUGGCGGAGACCCACCUCCAGCAGGUUUAGGCCCAUGACCACCGCGACAAGGCCCACUGCCACGGGCAGACCGUCACCAAUUUGGCCAUAGGCGCGGCCCAGGAACGAUGAGAUGACCCCCAAAGCUGCGAGAGUUGUUGCCAGGCCGAAGGAAAAUGCGAGCGCCUGCAGGUCGGGGAGGCCCACAUGGGAGGGUGGAGGUGUCACGAAGGCACCAGUGGAGAUUGGGUGCCUCGCAAACCCGCCUGGCUGACUGAAGUGAGACCCCUCCCGCUAGCAGCCAAUAGCGCCCCAUGCACCGGAUGGACCCCUCGCAAGGUGGAAGGACCAACCUGCCGGACCGCCGUCCUAGUCAUGAGGAGCGCGUCAUGAGGCCCCAACCCUCAGCGUGAUAAUACAGUGAACGUUAUGUCGGUCACAAUGUGUAUUUGGAAGCGGGCGCUCUUACCUGCGCGCUGAGCGAUGGUCUAUCUGUCCCGUCCUUGCUGUACCCUCCGAUAUACCCUAUCGUCAGCGGUAAUACGCUCAGCGUGCAUGGCGACAAGCUAGUUACGAGUCCCGCGCCGAAGAUAAUCACAUAAGUCAGAGGCGUCACACCUGUCAUAGAGAUAUGUUAGUGCCUCGGCUCAGCCACAUAGGUCACCAACGGCCAACCUACCCGAGAGCUGCGACGCGACGAGUGCGUCCGCAGAUUGCCCUGCUGAAAAAAGGCCCUGCCAGAUAGCAUCCGAUGCCUCAGAUGUCUGGUAAAGGACCUGCUGGUCAGUCCGGUCAGUUGGAUUUGUUUAGGUCAUCGCCACAAAUAAGCCCACAAACCUGAGAAACGCUAGCUUGUAGACUUGUUUGCGAUCUAAAGUGCCGGAUGACACGUCGCGUAACUGAGCGUCGUAGAGAGCAAAUCGUCGGUCUCCAUGGCGAUUGCAGACUCUGAUAUGUGUUUGCGUGCAUUUUUUCUCUUAGUUUGUCGUGUUAGAUGAAGACGCUCGGAUAAUUUUUAGUGACAUCACACAUGCUAUUCCUAAGCAAAGGGAGGCCAGAAACUGAUACAGGAACGUUAUUUGUCGUACGUUUAUUCCGCUACCGCAUGCGUCCCGAUCAUGCGACGCAUGGAGUGGUACACCAGCGUCCAAAAUGCGUCGCCAUUGCAAACUUGGAUAGUAUGACAUCCUUGGGCUCAAGCAUACUUCUCUCAUAGGUUUAUAUGUAUUACUUGACAGUAGGGUAUUCGACCAGUUGACGUUGAAUAUCCCCUUCUUCCCCACCCCUUCCCUUUUCGGGAAGCAAGACCAAGUGUAACGCCUCCCUUGCUUGCAGCCUGGACAGUUUCCAUGCACCCAUGUUGUGAAGCGAAAGGCGCCUUUGUGAAACCGCUUAAAUGGGGUUGGCCCCCAACGGACCGUUUGCGAGUGCUCCGUUUCCAAGCUAAAUAGAUUUUUACUACAUGAGUCCAUUGUACUUGUUGCUCCAAAUGGCCAUCCCUUGAAACACACAUCCCCUCCGGUCCCCCAGGCAAUGCCAACCCUGCCCCUACCCCAUGCGUACGACGUGUGCCUUUUCCCUACCCGAAGCCAUUUUAGACGGGUAACGUAACGCAAGACGCAAACACACCCGGAUGUGAAGGCAUCUUGGUAUUUCCCUGGGCCCCAGCACGUUUCCGCCCCAAAGCCUGGUGUGAUUCCGCUUAAAUACCUCGCAAACUGCUGCUUGAAUCGAUCUAAAAUGAGCCCAUGUACAUAAUGCUUCAUGUGGCGUCUUCAGUGCACUGCAAAUGGACGGCAACGGGAAAGCGAUGGACUUUUCUCUCGUUACAACCGCUGCGAACCAGCUGCGUACGCCUGACAGCAACAGCACCUCCAGCAAAGCAUGACAAGCCAUCAAAGCCGCCCUGCCAAAAAGGAGCCGCCGACGUUCGCCUGCAAUCGCUGCUGCGGCGGCGACCAAGCUAAAGCUCCACUCCAAGCUCCAGCAUAAGCCGCUUACUCAUCCUCCUCAGCAUCGUUAUCCGCAAUGUUGAAGUAUCGGAGCUCGUAGACGUUCCUGUCCUUGUUAGAGGCAAUAACGCGCAGCCAGUCACGCACGUUGUGCUUCUUGAGGUACUUCUUCGUGAGGUACUUAAGGUACCGCUUGCUGAGGUGCGUCUCCGCAGUGACGGUCACCUUGGUCUUCUCCUUAGCCACCUUAAUGGAGUCACCCAGCACACCGGUCUUGCCGUCCACCUUAAUCUUAUCGAGCAAAAAUUUCUCAAAAGAAGAAAUGUCCAUAAUCUUAUCCUCCACCGGCUUGGCGCAGUCGAUGGUGAAGACCAGGGCCUUCUUCUUCGCCGCGCCCUUGGCGGCCGGCUUCUUAACACCAACGGCCAUCUUUAAAAGCAGCGGCUACACGCGUGCACGGAAGAAAGAGUUACCUAGGUAGCAAACACAGCUUUUCUAUUCACAAAUGCCGUUCCCUGUACGGAGGCGCCUCCAUAACUGUUCCAGCACUCUCAAGCCCGACAGCAUUCCGCUACGGUAGAGAUUCGUUUACACAACGACAAUGACCACGAUGCUGCUCGAAACAUCUCCAACUUUCGUGCUGUAUAUGACAAGGUAUUCCUCCGCCGAGCACUCCGCGGAUCCAAACUUGCCCAGCAUAUAGGUAGAUGUUAUGCCCGUUUCGAAAAGAAUUAAUAAGGAUCCAGGAGACCGUGACCGCCGCAUUCGCCGCUCAAGUUAAGUCUGUCAGCUCGGAACCAUGAGCUCCGGUUUCCAUGGUACAUCGUUAGUUGCUAACGGGUUUCCUAUCUUUGCUGGACCCGGCCCGAGUGGCCUGCUGUUGUAAGGGCACCUGUGAGCACGGGGCAACAGUUGCGGGAGACCAGUGUUGCAAAGCUCGUGCCAGUUGUAGACAGGGCUCGGCUGAGGGGCAGGAACAGCCUGUUCCCUUGGGUUAGCUUGCAGGUUGCGGGCCAGGUCCGGUUUACCAGCCGGGUUCAUGUGUCGGGUUCAUGUUCAAUUGCCGUAUCCGGUUGUAAGUAAGCUCUUCUCGUGGUACAAUAGGCAACGAAGACAGGUGCAAUCUAACCAUGCUGCGAUGCAGUUGGCAUGGUGGUAUGAUUGCACUGCCCGUCCAAAUAUGGGAGGGGAAGUACCUAGAGGCGGUAGGCGUGCGGCUACCGCUGCGUCGGGAAGCUCGUUCUCCUCCUCCUCAACGUUCCCAUGAUAGUGCAGGUAUAGGAUGGUGUAAGCUGGGAUAGAGCUGCGGUUCGAUGGCUAUACUUCUGCUGUACAGCUACUGCAGCUCUUCGCAAGGUGCACCGUCUGCUCAAUCCUGGCACCAAGUGUUACACUCAGCAAAGCGCGGGGCCCCCUCGGGUCCUGCUACUUCUGUCACCAUUCACUGAUACAUGAGUGUCGGUCACUUCAUAACACCAAGAACUUGUGAAGCUUCUGAAGGAAAAAGGCAUGGCAUGCUGAAAAAGUCGAGCUUGCAGGAAAGGGCUUGGGGUUCUCUACCGGGUCCCAUAGAAGCCCUGGGGCCGUUGUUCCAUAACUGGAUGAAACGAAUUACACUUGGUGCUGCUGAACAAUAGGUUCAUUUGACCAAGGCUUAAGGCGCCAAGAGGUUUUCAGCAAGCCGUACAAUGGCGUACACGGAAGGUUCUCUUAGCAAAGAUUGCGAAAGCAGCACGCUACAAGGCAAAGUUGCUUUAAUUCUGUUUCUGUCCGAGUGAAACAAUUGUCUGUCCUAUCGUCUUAAGUAAAUCCCUUUCAAGGAUUCGACGAUCGACUGGCGUAACGUUUGGUUUGACAACUUUGCCAUCCAAACCUGGAUCGACCUUCAUGUCUAGUUUAGGGCGGAGAUGUGCCUUCAUCGCGUUUCUUGUCGUUUUAACGGGCAGGCUUUCCUUAGCGCAGUCGCCCAGCAUCGUCGAUGCGAUAAGAUCUAAAUCGCUCUUCUAUGAGACCUUCAAUGAUAAGGAAUGGGAGUCCCGAUGGAGUCAUUCUCGGGACGCCAAGUACAACGGCAGGUUCAUAACGGAUGCCGCGAAAGGGUGGACAGACAAUGGACUCAAGGUGUGGCCGUGGAUUUCGUUGCAUUUAUUAUUAAUAAGGAAUCUGAAACGCGGUGGAGUUUGGCAGCUUUUAAGCGCAAAUGCAGUUGACAGCCUGAGUGGUUGACGGUACGGGCUCUUCGGCUUCGGUCAACCGCGUGGGACUUGCAAGUGGCAACGUCACUCGCGAGUGACCCAACAAUUUGGAUGGAUUAUAUUCAUGGAAAACCCUGGUGAUCUCACGCAGGAUUGUGGCCUGUGCUCACAUCAAGGAAAUCCAGCGUUCUCUCGACUUGAACCUUGACGUGUGCAGCGCCCUCAUGUCAGUGGCAGCACCACGCCUUGUUAUGCGGUUGUCGGGAAACUUGUGUUGCACGUGCUUUUCCUCAACUGUCGUUCGUCUGUCCGACUUCCGCCCAUAUGCAGAUUCCCGAGAAGAACAAGUACUAUGGCCUGACAGCUCUGCUGGAUGCACCCGUGGAGCCGAUUGUGGCGAGCAGCCCCAAGCCGCUGCCCCUUGUCGUACAGUACGAAGUGAAGUAUGACGAGGGGGUCACGUGCGGCGGUUCAUACCUCAAGCUUCUGACAGCUGACCCUGACCUUACACCGGAAGGUCUGGUGGACAGCACGCCGUACUCGAUUAUGUUCGGACCAGACCGUUGUGGUGGUACGAGCAAGGUCAGCCGCCAUCAUAGUCGGCUUGGGGGGGUUGGGGCUCCAGGGGGGCCAGCUGGCAGGGGGAGGGGGAUGAGUGCUGCGGCCUCCGAAACCAAUCGAUAAAUGAUACUGAAGGUCACAACGGGUUGUCGAUCCGUAUCGUAUGUCGUACACAAGAAGACUGUCUCACCCAAGCUCGUGCCGGAGUCUGCAGCGCCCGGAAGCCGGGUUAGGGGAGGGGUUCGGGCAGCAGCAACCGCAGCAACAGUAACAGUUGGUGCUGUGUCUUUGAACCCACACCCUAUCCCAACCCUGUUGUUCACCCACCUUGCCUUCCCGAUGGUCCUUCCGGCGGCGCUAGAUCCACCUCAUUGUACGGCACCGUAACCCCGUGAACGGGACCAUCACCGAGAAGCACCUCGCCUCCCCGCCCUCCCCGGAAACCAAUGACUACACACACGUGUACACACUCAGAUUAUUGUGAGUGGGGGCCGGGGGGAAUAUCGGGGGGUGAACCACGGGGGGUUCCUGUGUAGCGGGGUGUGCUGAUGACCCGAGUUAUUUGGUAGCUGGGGCUCCUCCUCUCCACCUCUCAAAAGGGCAACCCGGGGUUUGAUGGGGAUUAAGCCCGCCGGCAUUCACCGUCCCCCCCCCGCCGCUUUUCCUUGGACCACAUACCAGCCUCCCUCCCCAACCACCCCAACCACCCCAACCACACCCCUGGUGGCAGUCCCGACCACAAGUACGAGAUCCUGGUUGACGGCAGCCUGAGGUCCUCCGGGGGCCUUAUGGAGCCCACCACCCUGCAGCCCCCGCUGCUGCCCCCCCUGGAGCUACCCGACCUACAGGACGUUAAACCCGCGGACUGGGUGGAUGUGGCCCAGUGAGUGGCGCAUGGGGGGAAGGGGGGGAAUUGUACGUGUAUGUGUUUAUGCAUUUGUGUGUGUCUGCAGUCGUAUGUGCGAGGGACGGUUGGCGAGGUGGUUACUUUGUGCAGUCUGAGGGGUCAAUGGGGCCGAGGGCGGCCCCUUCCUGGGGCUCAUUGGGGUGGUUUAGGUGGUUGUCUGUUUCAUUUUUGUAGUUGUAAGGCUUUUGCUGGAAGCGUUGUCGCUCAUUCGUCUGUCUGUCUGUCUUCCUUGCUUCGCCCGGGGCGCAGGAUCCCCGACCCGCACGCCGUCAAGCCCUCGGACUGGGACGACCGCGAGAUGGUGGAGGAUGACAAGGCCACCAAACCCAAGGGUGAGGGUGGCGUGGGGAAUUUGGGGGGAUGAAUAUGCAUGUGAAGGGCAGCCGUGCCGUACAUGUGCAGAAGGCGGCAUAUUGGGGAUGAAGCGCUAGCCGCUGAGUUACCAAAACUGUCUAGACCUCCCAUUGACCCGGACAUUAUGGCUGCCUGAUUAGGCGAUAUCAUGUGGAGGGGGAAUAGCGGUGACCUGGUGUCCUAAUGAUAUUCCUGAAUAGCCAUUUGACGUCAGCCGCUGGCGCCCGAGGGGGUGCUCCCCUCCUCUCAACUGCUAAUCUGUGUUGCAUGAUGCGGACGGGGGAUCUGGACCGGCUCGUGAGUUAAACGGCCGGGGAAUGAACGGCCUCCCUGCCCCAACCUGUCCCCACUUCCGCCUGCGGCCCCGCUCGCGCCACUGCCCCCCCCCUGCCCCCCUCACAGGCUGGCUGGAGCACGAGCCCGCCCUCAUCAAUGACCCCGGUGAGGAACUGCUGCUCGGGAGUGAGGGCAGGGACAUACAUAAGUAUGUACCCACAUACAUGUACAGAUAUACACACACGCGCGCACUCCUGGGUGCUCGUACGACAUCCCCAAAUUGUCCCUCCGUCCCGCCCGGACCCCCCGCUAGGUGAUUGCUGAUAAGACAGCCGAUAGCUGGUGUCACUGGCCAUGUAUAUACCGUCGUACUGCCGUACUGCCACCCGUUUCACCCCAGGACCCUAACCCACACCCGUCCCUCCCCUUUUGGCCCCCUCACCGCUCCACCACCACCACCACCACCCCGGGACCGCAGCUGCCAGGCGCCCCGCGGACUGGGACGAGGAGGAGGACGGCCAGUGGGAGCCCAACCAGAUCCCCAACCCCCGGUGCAAGGUGGGAUGUGGCCCCUGGGCGAGGCCCUUGAAGCGCAACCCCGCGUGGAAGGGAGCCUGGAAGCCGCCCCUCAUUGACAACCCGGAGUACAAGGUGGGGUUGGGGGGGAGGGGGGAGGGGUGGCUAGGGAGCGGCACGGCGGGUAAGGGGGCUCCUAAACUGGGGAACCCUCAGAAGGCGGCUGCACUCGGCCAGUUGGGGUGCAGUGCGGUGGGGCGUGUGUGUGUUGGGUUCCUCAGGCAGCCGAGUGGGUGAUUGCCGUACCGGCACCUAGCCAGUUAGGUGGUAUGGUGGUUUGCCGAAUCAGCUUUGUCAGGCGAUCUCAACCUCUGGGGGGCACCUGCAACCCUCAUCCCUCUUCCCUGACUUCUCCUCCCUCUACUCCCGCCGCUUCCUCCCUCCCUCCCUCCCUCCCUCCCACCGAACCCCGUUAUUGCCAAUCCCCCUGGCCCCCCCCCCCUAGGGUCCCUGGGUUCAGCGGACUCUCCCCAACCCGGACUACUUCGCGGAGGAGGAGCCCCUGCGGACCGGAGUGGGGCCCAUCGGGGGGGUGGCGCUGGAGCUGUGGACCAUCGACAGCGGCUACAUGUUCGAUAACAUCCUCAUCACGCGGGACCUCGAGGUGGCGGAGCUGGCGGUCAACCAGCUGUGGAAGCCGCGUAACGAGGCGGAGGUGCGGCAGGGGGGGAAGGGAGGGAGGAACGGAGGGCACCCCUGCAUCCAUAUGUGCGGAGGAGGUGGGUAGUGGGGUGGGUCCUUCCAAUCCUCAGCUCGGUGAGCUCGCUCUCCUCCCCCUCUCACCCUAAGCCCCCCUCCCCGCCCUACUGCUGCCCCUCUACCGGGCGGUGUGGUUGGGGGCCCGGAUGCGGCUCUCUUCCCCCCUUCAGCGCCGGGUGCAAGUGAAGCCGGUCGAGGAUGCGAAGGAGCUGGCGAAGAGGAAGAAGAAGAAGGCGCAAAAGGGGUCGCGGUACGGCAUUGAGCAGUUGAGGCAGUUGACCGAGGCCUUCCUAGACUUAUUCGAGGUGGGUCACAACGGGCGGCUUUCCGCCCCUCGCCCCUCGCCCCUAGUCGGCAGUUGUUCUCCUCAAUGUUAUCGUCAUAGGCCACCCUGCUCCAGUGGAGCUGCCGCAGCGGUGUCCUGAAGCGACAGCAUACACAUACAGAUACACACUCUAUUCCCCCUUUCCAAAGCUGCUAUGUAACUCUCUGCGCUGUUGGAUCUACAUGGCCGCGUAGGACGGUGCCGUGCUAUCCCCCCUGGCUCCGUACCUGGGCCCCUUCCUCGACCAUCUCGAGGACCAGCCGGACUCGCUCAUCCUGCUGGUGGGCCUGGGGCCCCUGCUGCUGCUCACUGCAGUGCUGCUGCUGCGGGGGGUGGGCUCGGGCGCCCGGAAGGUGAGCGGGGGGGGGGGGCUGCUUGUUCUGUUGUCACACGAGCUGACAGACUGGGCGCCGUGAGGACGUGGAUGCAGUUAGAGCGCCGAUGCCACCUGAGGAGACGUAAACCCGUAUGGGAGAUAUCACGUGUCAUGUCGGGGGAGUCCGCCUCAUGUGCCACGUGUGUACGGCAGCAACUCCCGUAAGUGUGCUAACUCCCCCACCCAACCCCCCGGGGGCCCCCACUGGCACCUGAUCGGUGCACACGACACGCAGCCGAGUGCCGUAGCCGCCCAUACCGCGGGCGGGGAGGAUGUGGAUGCAGCCGGGGAGGGUGCGGGUGAGGGUCAGGUCAGCCCGGCAGCGGACGGGACUGCUGAGCCGGUGGGGGCGGCUGAGGCGAGGGAGGGUGACGAUACCGGGGAUCAAGAGCCGGCACCGGGAGCGGAGCAGGUCGAGGAGACAGUUGAACAGGUAGGUGAACAGCGAGCGUGGUGCUGUGCUGCGCUGAGUGGUGACGAUAUUUGGCUGCUAGCGCAGUCCCCCGCUUGAGAACCCGCAGGAGGGUGCGCAUGAAUGGCGGGGAGGGAGGGAGGGAGCGGAGCAGUGCCCUUCCCUGGACAGUCUCCGAUGGCGUCCUUGGGUUCCUUAGAUGUCCUUGAAUGGAUUCGGUGGGGCGGUAGGGCGGUAGGGCUGCAAUAGUCAUGCUUUGGAUUGGGAUUUGGAUUGGGAUCAAUUGGUGUACGACAACAUUCCGACACCGAGAUGAUUUUGGGGUCGGCCCGCGCAAUCUGACUGGUGUGUUCCCUCUUGUGUCGUACAUGCAGGCAGAAGCGGCGGGUGAGGAGAUUGAAGAGGAGGAUGAGCUUGUUGCCUCAGGCCCGCGUCGUAGGACCCCUCGUGUCGCUUGAUGUUGUCUGUGACGUAACAAAGAAUUUGAACACAUUAUUAACGAUCAUUAAAACAUCUAAUGCAUUCAGCAUAUGGGCAUUUAUGAGGGGAGCAAAUCACCUCCUUAUGAUGAUGAUGAUGAUGGAUGGACGUGUGAAGGUUGGUCCGAUUAAGAAUGGUCGUGUUCGGUCUGAGGGGGUGUUUUGGACGGUGGUGACUUGUUCGGUGAUGGUAGAGUCUAGCCAACCUAUUUGGCCAACACGUGCGUCAGAGGCUGCUCCGGUAAGAGGACAUCACAACUCGAGUUGUCUUGGGGUUGUGGGUGACCGGGGAUCCGGUGGCUGGGUUACCUGUAACGCUAAACAUUUAUAAGGGGGUGUCGUGGGAAGUUGUGGGAGGCCUGUUCGGAUACCUUGAACCCGCAUACGCGAGUGGUGGGUUUAGCUACUGUCAGGACUUCCAGCUGCUUGCCGCGCCAGUAGCUAGGUGGUCAGCUAGGUAGCUGGGGCUGGCUUGCACGUCCCGAGGUAGGAAGGUUAGCAAGGCAUGACUCCAAAUCUGCCUGCCAUACGGCUGUGAAGUACGGAAGGCCAUGUGGCGAGGGAAGAGGCGCCCGCAGUCGUGGUGCCUGCUGACCUGAGACUUCCGCACCGGCCAACCUACUUAAAACACAUUCGUGUCCUGCACACCACACCAUAUGUAAUACGACAUGUUCCAUGAAGCCGAAACCCCCCUAGGGCUGUACGUCCUUUGUACGGCAGCAUAUCCCCGUUGCCGGGUGCUGCUGCGGGGCGGGGCGAGCUUACUUCAUCUUGGGAGAAAUGUUGCUCAAACAGGUAGGUUCUAGAACGGGUGAAGUUUGUGCCGCUGGUGCGUCCACGGGUACAACCUGUAAUCGUGAAUGACCUCCGCGACUCCCACCGUACUUACAUCGGCAUCAAUCGUUUUUCGGCUUGGCAAACAUCAGCAUCGCCGUUUGUUUUGUUAAUACCUGAUAUCGACUUGCGAUGUCCACGUCAGCCCACAUCAUGGUUAUCAAACUCAUGGAUUACGUCAUGCCAACAAAAAUCCAGUUAUGGCAUAUGGCACGUGUCAUCAGCACCGUUGGAUGCGAAGCCGAACCCCAAGUGCUCAAGACCAUGACAAGGCCCCGGCAAGGCACUCUAGGCGACUACCUUGUGUGGUCGCCAGCCUGGAGGCGCAACCCCAUUCUUUCAUAGGAAUGCUAACCCAAGCAAGGCAGCGCUUACCCAAUGCAUGAGGUGGUGUAGAACAACGACAACAAGUUAUGUACACGACCAUCACAAACAAAUGGAUUGACCUGGUGUCGGGAUCUUCGUGACACCAGGAUGGCGAGUGGCCCACCGCUCAGCUCUCGUGUCAGCUCUCAUGAUGUCAUAGCUAGCCAACUGGCCCAAGAUGCGAUACUCGCUCAAAUUUGCUUGGAAAGACGCGAAGUGCGACAUGCAAUAUCAGUAAUCCCCCUCCUAAGUAGUACUAGCAGUCCUAGGACAUGGAAGUUCAUGGAUUUAAUUCCCUCGAAAGCAAAACAGACCCAGCCGAUGCACUCCGUGUCACUGCGAUCGAAGACCACCUGUGCACCUCAAAUGUUCCGGCCAGGUCAAUAGUCAGCUUGCAUGUUCUCAUGGGAGUAUCAAGCCAUCGCAGUUGCCGCGCUUUGCGACCCACGGGUUGUCGUAUGACCGGCCGUUAGCCUCCUAAACUCCGCCAGCGCUGCUACGUGGCGAUUCUUCUUGGCCACGUCCACCGGCGUGUCCCCACUGCCGUCACGCGAGCCCACCACCGCGACGCCUCCGGCUGACAGCAGGAGACGCAGCAGCUGGGAGGAGCCCUUGCGGGCGGCCACAUGCAACACGCUCUGGCCGUACUUGUUGGGUGCCAGCACAAGCUCACCCGCGCCGGCCGCACCAGCCGCCUGUCGGGAAGCGGUCAGACGUACAGACGAACUAAUAGGUAACACAACUGAAGCGAGUGUGCGUCACAGGGUGUCGCACCAAUCGUCACAAAGAAAGGAGGCAAUGGUAUAGCAGUAAAGCAGCGCACGGAUGAGACAGCGACACGAGGAUACCGCUAUUCCAGCAAGCAACCCCGGGUUACCCACGUGCCCCCCGGCUCCGACUCCAUCAUCACGUGCCCCCACCUGCAGGAGGUACGCCGCCACAUCAGCGCGGUUGGCUACCGCAGCCGCAUGCAGGGGCGUCCAGGAGUCGCCGUACAUCUCGGGGUCCUGCCAGUCAAUCCCACGCGCUUUGCAGUACAGCAGCAGCUCCUUAACACAGCCCAGGUGGCCCCGCAGCGCCGCAAUGUAGAGGGGGGUCUCACCCGCGGAGUUGCCCAGGCGGGGGUCCGACCCCGCUGCUAGCAGCCGCUCCACCACCGCAGUGUGUCCCGCCUCCGAGGCUAGGAACAGCGCAGUGCUGCCCGCUGUGUCGCGUGCGUCCACAACGGCCCCCGCCGCCAGCAGCUUAGACACCACACCUGCACUGCCCCGCUCCGCAGCCAGGUGCAGCGGUGUACUGCGGGUGACGCUGGAGCAGUUGACGGCGCAGCGCAGCACCGUGGACACCGCGAGCUGGUCCAAUACCUCACCGGCACGGCUGCUCACGCCGACAGCCUGCACGAGUGAACCACAACCACCGCCACCAUGUUUGUGCAUGACAGGAGUCCAGCAGCUGCCCUUCUGCUCUGCUUCCCACUCCUCCGGGCAGUGCGCCGCCAGUCGAGCCGCACCAAGGACGCGCCGCAAGGUGUGUCGCGCUGCCUCCACGUCUGUGCCGUCCUGGGAGGCGAAGUCCCAGACCUGCACGGGCGGGCGGCCGCCGAGGGCCUCCCCAUCCGCCAGCACCCGGCGCAGGCACUGCACUAGCGGCUGGGGGAAGAGGGUCAGUUCCAGCGCCACCAGGCGCGGCAGGGACAGCACAGCGGCCACCAAAUGCCGGGCCGCGGUAAGAUGUGCCUGAGCGGUGGCGGCCGUGCUGGUCAGGGCGGGCUUGUAUGCCGAGACCAGGAGGUCUGAGGUGCGCGGCGGCAGCUCCGGGGCCGGGUGGGCGCUGCUGAGGAGGGCCGACAGCGCCAGGGUGCUGCCACCCAGCAGCAGGAAGCGGAGACUGCUGCCUGGCCUGUAGCGGGAGAUAGUGCUGCGACCGCCGUGGUAUGUCGUACCACUCGGCGCCACAGCGCCACCGCAAAUGGCCGUGAGUGCGUCAAUGGCCGAGCCAUGCAGCCGCAGGCAGUUAUUCAGCGCCAGGACCUGCGGGAUCCAUUCAACAGGGGCGCAGGUGGCGGAUUAGGGAGGGAACAAGGAGGGGAGCGAGGAGGGGAACGAGGCAAGGAACAAGCGGGCGCCGGGGCCCCGGGGAAAGGGGAGGGAAACCCCGGGAACCACACGUUAUGUAUCCAAGGCGUAGACACACAAAACAGCUCCACCCUAGGAAAGGGACGAAUUGGCGGAUGGGUGUAACAACAGGAUAAUAUUUACAGCCUGGAAAUCCCCGUGUCGUGAUGAGGGCUUAAGGCCCCUUGUUUCUUUGCGAGUCGGUCAUAUGAAGGACAGCGCAGACUAACGAGUUACCGCGCCACAGCCUCACCUGCAAUUCUGUAGUCCACGGCAGUGGAGGUGUGGAGGCAUCCAGCCCCGCUCCAGCUCCGGUGGCAGAGGAGACCGGCCAACGGCCCAGGUCCAAGUGGCUCAGCGCCAGAACUUUCAAGCCGGGCACCGCCAGCAGCUCAUCCAGGCUACCGCCGUGAAGCUGGAAGCAGCGCUGUAGGUUGGCAAAGCGCAGCGGUAGUGGCCUGGCUGCAGGGCCCCGGACUGCAGCGAAGUCAUCUGCCCUGGCUGCUUCUGGCAGCGAGGUCCCACCCGGGCAGGUGCUGCCGCCUGUUGGCUUCCACCGGUAGGUCACUGCCGCCCCCGACGUGGCCCGAGCCAGGGAAGUCACCCCCCCGUGAGUUAUCUUGCGGGCCCCGGAUACGUCCAGCAUCUGCAGCCGGGGGAGCCUCGCAACAAGAUAGUCCACAUCGCUGUCCUCCAGAGGCAUGUUUGGGAGGAGAAGCGCCACAGUGCCUGUCGAGAAGGGAAGAGAUUGCGACACGGGGAGCUUACUCCAGCAGGGAGACCCCGGCCCAAUCAAGACUUUCUGUAUUUUCACACUGGUUGCGCUUCAUAAUAAGCGUCAGCUUAUGUUACGCAACAGCUUAUACAAGGUAUAGUUUGUAGAGAAACUUCGUUCUAUUAGAAGCACUCUUGCCGUCGAACGGACCCAAAGCGGAAAGCACCCACCUGGCAUAUAUUUGCAUACGCCUAGAAGCGCCUUGGGCAUGGUAACAAAAAUGCCCUCAGAAAUGUUUCCACCGCCUGGAGUAGUGGACAACUUCCAAGAUCGUAUGUCCAGAACAAGUUCAGCAUCAGACACAUGACCCUUAAGUAGUUUGCACGCGCAGAUGGAGCUGGCCAGGUCCCGUGGGUCUGUGAGGAAUGAGACGACUGACGUAAUCACCUGCAGACUCAAGACGGUAGCGCCGUCAGCUACGAGGACGAAUGGUGAUGCGAACGAAGCUAUAGCGCACCUCUGAGGGCAGGCCUGAUAGGUCAAAUGCGUCAAAAGGAGGUUUAUUGAGCUCAGCUGUGACCUCGAAGACGGCCUGGGCGCGCAGGGCCGUUGGCUUCCAUUCCGGCGCAUGAGGGUUUAGAGGUCGCAUUGCUGCACCCUAGCCGGGAACGCCCCACUCCCGUUGGGCUGCUGGGCCAGCGCCCCAGGCCCUUGAUGGCCUCCCCUCGCUUUCCCGCUGGAGCCGCUGCACCGUGCAUUCAGGUCAAGAAAGAGGGGUGGAUUUAAGUGGAACGCGCGAACGCGUAUAUGAAGCGUGGGGUGCAGCGGAGAAGCGUAUAUAACUAUGAUUAAGGGAUUCAUUGUGCCUGUGGCAUGAUAAGGAAGAUGGUCGAACGUCCGUACAUAUGGAUUGCAAUUCUCAGGGAUGGUGCUAGCUCUUAUAUAAUUUUAAUAUCAUUUUUUAGAACAAUGCGGCUAGUUCUAGCUUGGGAAGCGAUCCCGACGCCUUGAGGGAGCUGUCUAAUUGAAACCACUUAGGCGUCCGGAAAUGAGAAAUGUAGCUUGAGAUUACUGUCCCAUAGUAUAACUGCUGUGGUGACUUGUAAUAAUAGCCUUGAAGGCUCUCAUUUAUCUGUUCAACGCGCUCAGUGGCCAUUUUUGCAACCGUCAAGUGCUUUACCUUAAGCACUGGCCCGCUGGGGGAACAUGCAACAUACCUACGAAGUAAGACUUGAAAAUUUACCAUAUUUUUGGGCAAAUGUAUGCUGCGGCAUGCGUAACGGAAACAUAACAGACUUCACAACCUUAUUUUUCCGGGUCCUUGCCAGGUGCGAAUCCACACGGGCGACAGCUGGGGCCGUGGAUGCGCCUCCAGUGUGGCGUUUACCGUCUACGGCAGCCAGUACACCCUGACCUCCGAAAUCUGUGUGCGACAGGUAUGCACGCACUGCACAUAUUUGGCGCAACCAUCUGCCAACCUUACCUCACUCCCCAAACGAAGCGCCCUCCCACUGUGCACCGCCUCCUUGCUCAUGCGCCCUGACCUGCACAGCUCAGCUCCAGUGGCCAUGCCCCCCGGCGCGACAUCGUGUCCACCCUGCCCUUCAACCCGGCAUACACGUACACAUACACACAUACACACACACCGAACACUCCCCGCGCUCAUGUCCUCAGGAUAUUCCCCCGGUCUUACCCAAACGGGGCCGAGCUGUUCAGUUCGCAGCCGCCAAAGCGGACUCAGAAGCACGGAAGCAGAAGGUGAGCGGGUGGAGGUGGUGUGUGGGGGGGGCCAUGGGCUGCCGCAGCCACCACCAUGUAGUCCAGUACACGGCAGCCUGUGGUGACUGGCACUAAGGGUUAAGGGGACGGCGGGAAACCAGCGGCGUCUUCAGACCACCUGUCAGGUGGGCGAUGACAGGUUAGGGGGUUUCAGGGGGGAGUCAAGUCCACCUUGGCAGUGGUCGUGAUGGUAAGGGGGGGUGGAAAGGAAAACCUCAAGCUCAGAUGUGGCGGGAUGGUGGGGGGACGUUAGGCAGGAGUUCCUUGAGCUGUACGGCACUUGCGAGGUUGUCGGAGCUUGCUGACAUUUGCCCUGGCUCGCCUCCCGUUGUUUCCGCUCCCCUCCCACCUUCCCACCUCCCCCUCUUCCCUCCUCCCCCCCUUCCCUCCUCCCCCCUUUCCCCCCUCCCCACCUCCGUAUCACCGUCACUUGGGACAACCGCACAAAGUGCGACGCGGGUCGAGGUGAGCGAUAUCCUGGGUGGUGGUGGUGGUGGUGGUGGUGGUCGGCAGGUUACAGGAGGAGCUCCGGAGUCCUGAGCUGCGUCCUUACGUCUCCCCCUCCCCCGCCCCCUCCCGUCAGGCGGUCCCCCCCUUGAGCGGCGCAAUGUGUUUUCGCUGGUGUCACGAUGGCUCCACUCUGAGGGGGGAGUGGGGCGGUUGAGGCAGCUGGUGCGGGAGGUGGACUCACACGCGGACGCCGGAGGGGGGGACGGGGUGCUGGAUAUGGAGGAGGUCAAGAAGCUGCUGGCACUGGUACGUGGGGUUGGGGCCUGGGGUGGGGUGGACCAUCCGGUUGGGGGGCUGGUGGUCGGGGCAGUUAAGGGGAGGUCUUGGGACCGUUGUGGCUUGAUGCGCGUUUGUGUGUGUUUCCCCCCAACUCCCCCACCCCCCACCGCUCCCUUCUCCCCCUUGCCCGCCAGGCCGUCCCCUCCAUAUCGGAUCUGGAGACCCAGCUGUUCGUGGCGAUGGUGGAUAUGAACGGCGACGGAGCACUGAGUGAGGGGGAGCUGGUGCAGAGUGUGGUGGACUGUGCGGGUAUUGAUGAGGCCGUGUCGGCAGGGGGGGGAGGGGAGGGAGCUGGCGGACUGGCGGGAUCUGGAUCUGUAGCGGCGGGAGCGGGGGCCGGCCCCGGCAGCCCCGGCAGUUUGUUGGGCUGUUUGGAGGCGGCUGUCCAACACCUGCGGAGCAAUGUGACGGCAGUGGAGGCCAAGUUGGUGCAGAUGAACCCGCCAGGUGGGGGAGGGGGAGGGGCCUGAGAGGGGGGGAGGAAGCGUCGUAGGGGGAAGGUGGAGGACAAUGCAAUGCUAGGAGGGUUUCUUGUCCUUAGGGCCCUGACCAACAUCUAACGACCCGGGGUGUUUGGUGGGGAGAGUUCCACCCCCGCCGGGAUCGCCGGGCUGGCUGGCUGACCAGGUGUUGAUGUCCCCUGCCACCGUCACAUCUGGCUGCUGCCCCCCACGUAACCGCCUAACCGGAGAUCACCCCUCUCUCCCCCUCACCCACCACCCCAGGGGGGUACCUGACGUUCACCCAGCUCAGUGAGCUGUUCCAGGUGGGUAGGGUAGGUGAAACACACACACGCUGGGGGGGAGGGGCCGGGACCCGGGCAGCGGCCGGGAGGGAGGGGGGUUUUAUCGCCUGCUGCCGCCAAGCGCAUGGGGCAGCGGCCGGGAGGGAUCACCAAGGAGGGCAUCGUGAAGCGGCGGGCGGUUGGAGCAACCCGGUCGCGGGGGGGCGCACAUGCGCACUGGCACUGACGUGUACUGCCACCUUCAGCGUGGUGGUGAUGAUGAUUAUAGUGGCCGUACAACUGGUACUGCUGCCGCGGGUUAACCUGUUUGCCUGUAUGCCUGCCUGCCGUACCACCUCCACUGCUGUUCAGGCAGUUGUUCCGGAAAGUCUGGGGGGUCGUGCGGCUGUCCGCGCUCUCAUGGUGAGUGGGGUGGGGAGUGUGGGGGGGGGCGGGGUAUUGUCAUUACAGGGGUGGGUGCAUGUUGGGGGCCAUUGCCGUACUAAGCGGACCUCCUGCGGUGCCCCUUCCCCCCAGGUCCCGGUGCUAGGUACCUAUCGGGGAAUAUCGUACCAGGGCUGUAUGUAUGUAAAUAUGUGUGUGUGGCGGCCUCCUGGUUUGCCGCCCCACCGACCCGGAACCUUCUCCGCCCCUCCCGCCCCUCCCCCCCCUCCCGCCCCUCCCCCCCCUCCCGCCCCUCCCCCCCCUCCCGCCCUCCCGCCCAGGCCCACGUCGGCCGCACCGCCAUCUUGUCCCCCCUGGACCCCGGGGUGCACCUGGGGGAGCUGAGGCGCUGCUUCGGACUGCAGGUAGCUAGGGGGGGGCGAGGGGGGGCAAGGGGGAGUUGUGUGUGGUGUUGGGAGGAGGCAGCACGGCUCCGGGGACUGGCUGGGGCAGCGGGGCCGUGUUGCCUCCUCCCACCACACCCAUCGGUGCACACGCGGCUGGGGCUGCACCCGGGUCCCUCUCACCGCGUACCCUCCCUCCGCCGUAACCCCCUCCUCUCCUCUCCCCGCCCCGCCCCGCCCCACCUGGUUGGGGCCCUCAGGCCGGCACCGCGACGGACGGCCCGGCGGCGGCGGCCGCGGGGUGGGUACCGGGUCGGCCUAGGGACGUGUUCAAGCUGCUCCGAUACCACGUGAAACACAACCGGGCCCAGCUGGACGAGCUGUUCCCGCGGGGGUCGGACCUGACCGUAAACCAGGUGGGGUGGGGGGAGGAGAGCGGGUUGGUGGCGGGUUGGUGACAGGGAGGCGAGGGGUGGCGAGAACUGCAGCCUUGGGGUCUGUAGAGACUGGCGGGGCCGGUUGUGACGUUCUGGUCGUGAGUGUGUGUGACGAUAGCACAGUGCCGUCCACUGUAAGGCACGUAAAACGAUGUAAUGCCCAGGGCCCCCGAGCUCAUGCGUGCACGUGUGUGUGCGUGGGGGGGGGGGAUGAAGAGGGAACCGCCUUGUGUGGCACUUGAUGGCAGUUACACAGACAUAAUUGCGACGGGGUGAUGGUCGUUAGCAGGGUGGGAGCUCACUGGCGCGGGUCCACCUACCCGUAUUGGGUAGCACUCAGUCCCGGUUGGGGGGCUGUGGUGCCACGAGCGAACCCCGCCUGCGUCCCUGUCGCACCUCUCCACCCCCGCUACCCACCACCGCUUAAACUCACUUCCGUACUCCCCCGGUCGUCCAGGUUCGUCAUCUUGUACGACAGAUGCUUGAGUCCCGGGUGGGUGAGCCCCCGCUGACGGGGCGGGAGGCCCGGCACCUGGUUGCCGUACUGGACGUGAAUGGGAGCGGCACUCUCUCCCGCGAGGAGUUCGACAGUGGCCUCAAGAACUGCAGGUGGGGGCUUUGGGGUGCUGGUGGGUAGCUCGUGCCGCGCUGGAGUGCUCAGUGUCGGAGUGGAUUUCCCCCCUCGGGUGGUAUAGCUGUGAGGGCCGCGUGUGGGGGGAUGUAUGCGGAUGGGGGCGGCACUAACCCUCAGUAACCCCCGGCUGAAGUACGGGGGUGGGGGGUACUGGGGGGGCCUCAAGGAGCCGGAGCCGGCCCCCGCUGAAGAACCCGAGGCCCGGAGAGACCGCGCUGUACUGCUUGGAGGUAUCCCUGUAUAACCCCUUGGACGUCGACGGUUGGUUGUUGGUGUUCUACCUGAUGAUGGCCACCCGGUGCUGCCCCCCCUUACUAACUGCCCUUGCAUGACAGCCUGUGACUGCCACUCGCCGUCUGGACCCACCACCACCACCACCUGGUCUCCUCGCUCCCCCUGCUGCUAUUUCCGCCCCCCCUGAUUGGCCUCGUGGUUGCCUCGCACCUUCCCCUCUUCAACUCCCCUCCCUCGCUUUUCCGCCUUCCGUCCCCACUUCCCCGCACUUCCCCCACUUCCCCGCAGGGACAUCUCAGCGGCACUAACCCAGAUCCAGAUCCAAGGUCGGGGUCUGGAUCCCGCUGCUCUGCAGGGGCAGCUGGAUACACCCAUGUACCCCCUCGGCCCCCCUGGAGGGGCGGCAGGAGGGGGAGGGGGAGGGGGAGGGGCCGAUGCGAGGGCCCCCACCUGGGCGGACCUGCUGGGGGCCCUCAGGCAGCUGCAUGAGCUGCUGGGGGGCCAGAAUGAGGACGUGGAGGCGGUGUGGAGGAGACAUGACUCCAGGGGGAAGGGGAGGUUAGACGCGUGUGAGCUACGCAAGGUGGGUGGGGUAGGGGGUGGGGGUAGGGGUGGUGUGACCGGUUUGCUGUUUGCUUAAGGGGGGGAAAUGGCCCAGCCGGGGUUGCCGGAGCCGCCCUUUCACGUAUAAGGGUGGGACUUGCAGAUUUGUCGUUGCGCAUUACUUUGGGACUGGAACGACCUUGUCUGUCUGUCUUCUGUCUGUUUUGUUCGUCCAUCCUCAGGUGCUGCUGGAGCUAUCUCCCCCCGGUCUGCUGCCUCUGCCCCUGCUGCGGGCGGUGCUCAUGUGCCUGGACCUGUGGGACCCCUCGGAGCACGCGCUCAUGUCCCGCAAGCACCUCCUGACGGCCCUGCGGGGGGACAGACCGCCGGACAGCCUGCAGCCCCCCCGGGUGGUGCCCCUGGCCAGUGUGGGACAAGGUAACGUGGUGGGGGCCGUGUCCUCCACGUCCAGAUCCAGAUCCAGAUCCAGAUCGGGGGGGAGGGAAGGGGGAAUGGGAUCUAAUAAGUUGGUGAUUUGGUAGUUGUCAGGGGGGGAGGGCGAGAGAAUAGGGCUGUCGGGACUCUGUAUAGUCGCACAUGCAGGAAGGCUAGCUAAUUGCGUUUUCUUAUCAGUCCAUGUACGGUAAAUCGUACAUAAUCAUUAUGCGACGGUCGUGUAGGUAAAGUGGGAGGGGUUUCGUGACAACGUACGGCUGAGCGGCGGGGUACCGUCUUGGCCGUACAUGUGCACGACGGUGGUGACCCGCGCUCAGCGGCACAUCCUGUCCCGCCCCGUCACUGGUGGACUUUUCCCCCAAGCGUGUGUGUAUGUAUGUACGUAUGCAUGUUGCAGGUGUAACGAUGGCAACGCGACCACUGCCGAGUAUCAGUCAAGGGUUGACUCAGGCCCUGUAUGGCGGCAAUGUGGACACGGGGCUCCCGGGGCUCCUGCCUGACCCGGCGCAGUGGGCGGAGUGGCACGGCAACGUCAAGACAGCGAACCGGCCUUCCGGUGGGUCGUGUGACCUCGUACAGGUGGUGGGGGUGGGUGGGGUGGGGUAGUCCGUGGCAGGGAGCGGCGCUCACUUUCCAUCACCCUCCGUGGCCGGCCAGGUGUAGCGAGGGCAAUGGGGGUCGGGCCCGUGGCUGACAGGGCGACUGGGGCGACUGGG
rnacentral:lncRNA from 1 species